rnacentral:lncRNA from 1 species
AGUUGGCACAAGGGGACUCCGUACGUAAUCGAUAAUCCGUAUAUAUUAGGGGCUGUUGUGGGUGGGGGAAGAGCGAGAGAGUGAGGGGACGAAGGGUUUCUUUUGUUGAAAUCGCAGAGGAUAGCGGUCGCAGAGAAGAGGAAAAUGCCGUGCUUGAACCUGUCCACAAACGUCAAGCUGGAGGGCGUUGACACCUCCGCCAUUCUGUCUGAGGCCACCUCUACUGUUGCCAAACUCGUCGGCAAGCCUGAGGCUUAUGUUAUGAUUGUAUUGAAGGGGUCUGUACCCAUGUCAUUUGGUGGAACUGAGCAGCCAACUGCCUAUGGUGAGUUGGUUUCUAUUGGGGGACUCAACCCUGAUGUGAACAAGAAGCUGAGUGCUGCAAUUUCCAACAUUCUGGAGACAAAGCUUAAUGUGCCAAAGUCGCGUUUCUUCCUGAAAUUCUGUGACACCAAGAGUUCCAACUUUGGAUGGAAUGGGUCUACCUUCUAGGUUCCGUAUUUGCAAAUGUUGAGCUUGUUGACCACGGGGCUCAGAAUUUGGAAAAUAUGCAUCUUCAAUGUUUGUGUAGUAGUACUUGUAUUAUGUUCCAAGCAGAUUAUGUUGAUGCUCCAGAGCAUCCAUCUUUAGAGAAGUAUGCAAUUUAAUAUACUGGAUAUUUUGAGAUCGGUUUGAACAAUCACUAGAUGCAUCUCAAUGCUGUUCAAAAAUAUGUGGCUGGUGAAUUAAUGCUACAUCAUGCAGAUCUGAAUGGAAUUAGUUGAUAUUUAAAAAAAAAAAAAAAAAAAAAUUAAUUCAAUAAUGCAGUAGAUGAGGGGCAAUGAUGAAAUCAAAUUUUUUUUCUCUCUCCUAAUAUCACUUUUUAAUUAUUCAUUGGGCCUAAACGAUACAAGAUAAUUAACCUUAGGGGAGGUUAUAUAAUUUUCAAAAUUUGGAGGGAAGCCAGUGAAAUAGUCAGAAACCUCUGGGGAGGUUUCUGAAAUUAUCCCUUAAAUAAAACCAAACCUUAACCAGCUGGUUAGCCCAACCACGGAGACAUGCUUAAUAUUCUCCUUUGAACCCCGGCCCAAGGAGCCACCGGUAAGGUGCCCCUUUAAACCCAGCUUGGUAGCUGAGUUCUUCUUUUUCAUGAACCCAAGCAGUAAAAGUGCAUUGACUGUAAAAUAAUUAACUUAUUUUGGAGAAGAAUAACUCAUUCUUUUCAUGAUAUUUAGCUUUUCCGGACACAUAGAGCUUCAAUGGAAGGACGGCCUUUGAACUGCAUCAGGGAUUUUGUAUUUGUCACAAUUUCAUGGUAUAAUGUAUGAAUUAGAACAACAGAUAUAGACAGUAAGACAAUAACUUAUAAAAAUAGUUACAUUUUAACGUCUGUUGAAAAUUAUGCCUUACAAUUUGAUAUCAUCAUAUCACCUACCAUAUAAUUGGCUGUAAAACUCAAAGCUGAACAUUGACGGGGUAAUUCCUUAUUCAAUUCUGAAAUCCUUCUCUUUCUCCAUUUUUCUAUGUAAGGUUUGGAGUCUCCCUCUUAAAUAAAAAAGACAAAUCAAAGGCUCCUUUUUUUCUUUUUCACUUCAUGGGUGUAUUGUUCCCGUUUUUGCUUUGUAUUCUUAGAUCAGAUUCUUAAGUAUAUGCUUUUAUCAGAUUCUUCUUUUUCGUUUGGCUCAGAAUUCUGUUUCGAUAUGGAAAAAUCUGUACGAGCUCCAAUACCAAUUAUUUAAAGGUAAAAUAUUAAUAUGCAAAAAAUUGGAAAACAUUUUAUAGCUUUCUCAUGUCUUUGAGUUAUGAAAUUUCACUUUAUCGAAUACAAUUCAUAUUUUUAAGUCAAUGGAAUUACUAGUUACCCUCACUAACUCGUGAUAAAAAAAAAUUUCCAAAUACUCGGUAACACCAUAUUUAGUACAAGUAAUUGAUAGGUCAACAAUCAAAUCAAUAUAGGACUGCUCAAGACAAUGAAGAACAACAUUUAAGAAUAAUAAAAAUUCAAUUUAUCCUUUGUUUGUUUUAAUUUUCAAUCCAAUCACAUAUAAGAUUACUCAUUUCUAUUUUCUGUAAAUGCUCAAUAUUUUAACUAUGAAUUGCUUAAGACUGGACAAAAAUACACAAAAAGAAAUCUUAACUUAGGUUGGCAGUUUCUUAUUGAAUAUCAUCAGCCAUUAUUUUAUCAACUCUUAAGAAUUAGUUGAUUGGGAAAAUUAUUUAUUAUUUAUUUUAGUUUUUUGCUUUUCUAUCCCUCUACACACCCAACUCUCAGGUAAAAAAUUUGAAUCCUAAAGUUGAAAGUGAAGAGGAGUCUAAGAGGCCCCCUCUAACCACUGAAGCCGACUGCAGUGGUUAUUUAGGAAGCUUACAUUACUUUAAGUUAAAUAUUGCACACAUAAUUCCUUGAGUUUUGGGAAUAUUAUCCAAUUAAUUUUCCCAAAAAAUGUAAUGCAGAAAAUCAGGGCAAAUUCAAUCCCCUAGUAUUUAAAAAAGAAAAAAAUAAUAAAGAAAGAGCUCUUUUGAAAAUACAAAAAUCACUUAUCCUGAAAACUCAAAAAAAAAAAAAAAAAACAGAAUAGAAAAAUUAGGUUCGAAAAAAAAAAAAAACAGAAACAGUGAGAUUGCUGGGCUGCUGGAGCAAACAGCUCCAUUCAUCCCAAUGCAAUUACAUCAUCAUCCUUUUAAUUUACAUAGUAAAAUUCGUACUCUUCGUUGAGUUGUAAAUAAAGGCGCCUCAGAAAACGAUGGAAGAGCAGUAAAAAGGUAUUGAAGGAAAGAGUACUAAAGAUUUUACAAGAACAGUAAUCGUCUGGUCCAGAAUUAUUGCAAAUUUGGAAGCCAAGAAACAUCGACUAAUUAACCUUGCUGAAAUCUUUGUCUUUAAAAUGGCCAACUCUCUAAAUCCAACCCAUGAAAUGAUAAUGAGUUCGAUCAUUUUAUCAUAUAUUUUUUUCAGUUGCUCCUCAGUCGGUGCUAACCCUACUUGAGCAGCUAGCCAGUCCAAGUACUUAUACUGCAAGAACAUGCCCAAAGUUAACACUAUUUUUGCAAUAAAAAGAACCAUGGCUUUAUGUUCGUUAGCAUUUCUAUGGUAUCCAUCCUGGGAUCUAUUUUAACAGGGGUUGUGGUCUUCUGUCACACAACUUCUUAUAUUGACAAGUCUCCGAGAAAAAUGUUUUAAAACAUGAAACAUGUGUGAAUUGAAUAGAUUGAGUAAUAAAAGUAUAGCAAUAAAAAUUGUAACAAAAAAUCAUUUGAGUGUUAACUGCGCUUGAGUUUUCACUAAACUUCGCCUAUAUCUAAAAGCCCUAGACUUGAACUGUCAUUGGCCGUUCCAUGUCAGCCUUGAUUUAGCAGACUCUUUCAGAUGAUCUUCAAAUCAUAUGUUGAUUUCAAAUUGGUUGGAGCCAGCCACGGAUUUAAGGGGGGGCUGGUGGGGGCUUAAGCCCCCCCCCAAAGCCGCCGGAAAACACGAUUAUAUGCUUGUACACUUGAACAAUUACAUGAUUGUGUUUUAGAAGGAAUAGGUACGUACAAGGAAAGUGAGUGUACUGUUUAACGGCUUGACAUUGACAUGGUAAGGAUCCCGUUGUCUAAAUCAAUGAACCUUACAUUCUCCAGAAUUUCGUUGUCUAUUGUAAGUAUAUGCAAUUAGCUCCGAGUAGUAUUACCUAUCGUGCAAAAGCACGCAAUCAGAUUAUUCUAAAGUAUAGCAUUCUUUGGUGCUCAAAUUCUUUGACAAGUUUUGAUUGUCAACAUUGUAAUAUAUUAGUUUUUUAAUUUUUAUUUUGCCAAUUUGUUUUCUAAAAAUAUUAUUUGCAUUGAAGUCAUCGAUAUAAUUUUUUCAAACUUUCUAUUGAACUAUUUGAAUAAUUUAUAGGUCAAAGUCUAACAUAUUAUAACAUUGAUACACUCCUGAUAUCAUGACAUUUAAGUUAUAAAAAUAAAAUUUUUUAUACACAACUACAAAUAUGACUAUUCCAAAGAAAAUCUAUGAAUUUUUUAUCUUUUUUUAAUUGAAAAUAGUUAUAUAUUUGUUUUUGUACAAGUGACAUAUUGGAGCAUCUUCUCAUAAUGUGCAACUUAGGUGGUUUGUGAUAUUAUAAGAUAUUUAAUCAAAUGUUAUUUCUUGUCUUAAUUUUAGUUAUGACAAUGUUAUAUAUUUAUGAAAUAGACAUACUUUUAUAAUUAAAGUUAAUAUUUAAUAUUUUAAGAUGUCAUAUAUUUAAAUAAAUGAAAAUUAUUUUAAACAUAAUAUAUUAAGGUAAUUUUGUUCGAAAAAAUUUUGGCCCCCCCAAGGAAAAAAUCCUGGCUCCGUCACUGGUUGGAGCUAAAUUCGUCUGAAUACUUGAUGGAUGGAUGUCUUUGCAUUGAUAUGCACGUAUUCUUUCUUCCGGCAUUCAAGAAUUUCUUUAGUCAACAAUCUCCUUACCCCCUCAUCCUUUAGCUCUUCCAUGGGAGAGGCCAAAUGGUGUCUCACCCUGAAUUUUUUUCCCUUUAAUCUUUGUUUUGUUAUAAUUUUUCUUGCAAGAGUUUAUCCUCUAUUAGAAUUUUUUUAGUGAGUUUCGCAUCUCUUAUGAUUUUCACUUUUUGCUUAGGUGAGAGUUUCCUCUCUCCUAGUAAGAGUUUUUUCAUUAUUGUUGUUAUCCAUUUUUUUUUCCCUUUGUUCUUGUUAGAUUUAGAUCUCUAAGUCUCAAAUCAAUUUGGUCAAAUUUAAAAUUUCUCGUGGAACCCAUUGGAUCUGCUCGUAGAGGAUAUGCAUCCAUUAUCCAUGGGAGUUGUAGAGAUUUAUCUAUAUUUUUAAGAAAUUUUAGAAUUUUACUGUAUUAUCUUUUUGUUGAUUUUCCCUCCCUUCAAUCUAUUGUAUUUGUUGCAUAUUUUUCAUGUAUUUGCUGCCACCAGAGCAACUUUAUCUAAAUGAUUGAAAUUCUCUUGUUUAUUAAGAAAAAUAUGCAAAUACAGACAAGCAUAUAUUAAAGCAUAUGAAUGGGUUUUUUUCUUAACUUUUUUUUAAGUGGAAGGUUUUGAAUUUAGAAUCUUCUAUUUACAAUUCCUCUCAUCUUACCAUUCGACUUAACCCUCCCUCCCUAUGAAUGGGUUAUAUUUGCUUGAGUAGCAUCUUGACACAGCUUAUACUAAUUACAAGGAUUAACUCCACUUUACAACCUUAAACUCAUAUAACUUUCUCAUUUUACACCAUAAACUUCAAUUUUGGACACUCUCAAGUUUAUUCCAUUUAAAUUCAGUCAAUAAUUAUGCUCACAAAAUUAACGAUAUAAAGGAUGGUGAAAAUUAAUGACAAUGUAUCAUUUUGUUCUAACUAUGAUUCCUUAACUUUGUUUUUUAGCCUCUUUCAGUACAUUAUCAUUGAUUUUUAUAGUCACAAUCACUAAUAUUAUUAACAAAAUUAACGAGAUAAAUGAUGAUGCAAAUUAAUGAUAAUAUUGUUUUAUUUUUGCUACAAGAUUUUAACACUUUUUGACCACUUUCAACACAUUAUCAUUGAUUUCUUAUACCCUUUAUACCGUUACUUUUACUAAAGUAGCCAUCGAUUGGAUUUAAAUGGGACAAACUUAAGAAUUUAGGAUACAAAAUGUUCAAAUUGAAGUUUAAGAUGUGCACUGUACAGGAUAUAAUAUAUAUAUAUAUAUAUAUAUAUAGACAGACACACACACACUCACUUUAAGGUAAAGCAUGUUUUCAAAAGUUUUCUUAAUAAUUCAAAAUAAAUGGGUAUUGAUAGGUGUUCUUCAUAAUUUUAUGCAAAUUAUUGUUUUACAUGGAGAGCUAACAAAUCGUAAGUUUCAAAUGCAUCGUAUCGUUUUUCAUUUAAUGGAAAAAAGUGCUCUAAAAUGCAGUUCUAAAAGUUUACAAGAAAGAUUAUUAAAACAUUUGAAGGCUGGUGGCAAAGGUUGUUCUAUCUGCAAAUAUUCAAGAAGACUUGUAUACCCACAUGCUUUGAUUAAUUGAUUGUAACUUUUUCAAAUAUACAAAUAAUAAUCUAAAAUUGAAGAGGUAUUUAAAACCCUAGUUUAGAAAAUGUGUCUACCCAUAUAUUUUGUUGUUCUACAAGUGGUUUAAACUUUAAAUGUUGGAAACAAUAUAUAUUUCUAAUUUGUUGAUGAAUGGUAGUGUGGAAUCCAAAACCGUUUACUAUAAUUUAGUUGGAAGUUAAAAUGAUUACUAGCCGUUACCGUAUCAUCGGCCGUGAGAAGCCUGUGAGUAUAAUGCUUAGGAAUGCCGGUUUCCUCCAUAAGCCGAUAGUGUUCUUCAACAUCGGCCAUCAUCUCUUCUUUCUUUUUUUUCUCGAAACGAUAAUUGAUUGUAUUACUUGACAAAAGAUUUACAAGUACGAGCAAAGACUCGAAUGAACUUUACAUGCGGCUUUACUUGCCACUAAGGAAACCAAUGUUCCUCAUCUAGAAUAAUGCCCAAGGCAUAUUUACUAAGCUUAGUGCUUAGUUGAUUGUUAUCAUUAUGAACUAGGCAAAAGGAGCACUUAUGAAACAAAUCUCUGAGUUGUAAAAUAUCGUCCACAACAGUAGCCAAUCUGAUAUCGCUUACACCUGCUGUUCGAACCUGAUUGAGGAGCUGUCGGUUUGGCACUUGAAAUUGCACAUCCCUGAAUUGCAAAGUCGCAGCUUUACACAUUGCUAGCUUCAGUGCAGUUGCUUCGUCUAGUAGUCCUGAACCUGAACUGCUUUCUCGUAGUGUCCAACCUCUUUUUGCACCUUGAUUUCCUUCCUGCAAAGUAAUCCCAAUACCGAAGCAAGACUUUGUCAUAUCUCUAGUUAUUCCUAUCCUCAAUAUCAAGCACCCAUGUUCAGGAUUUCGCUGCUGAUUCUGUUGAUGUAGAGCUUCUGUUUCAUCUGUGCUCAUACUAGUUCCCUUCCUAUCUAUUUCCCCAAGUUCUAACCAUUCUUGGUGCGCCUUCUGGAUUGUCUUCCAUGGAUGACUUUCCUUACCAUUGAACUCCUUCUCAUUUCUGUCUUUCCAUAUCUGCCAGAGAAUAUGGACUGAUAGAGCAAUAUGUUGCCAUCCUUCAGCUCUGGUUCUUGCAUCUAAAAUUUCGAUCCACCAUCUUUUGAAACAGCCUUGGUGUUCCAUCAUACCUUCCCAUUGAAUGGGGGCCAGCUUCCAUGUCUGUUUAACUUUGCUGCAAUUCAAAAGGGUAUAUUCAAUAGUUUCCCUGUCUUCUCCACACCUUCAGUUUCCAUAAGUCCUUCCAUAACCUUUGGGAUUGAUUUUCCAGACUUGUAGAACCCUCUAGCUGGUUCCUUUGCUGCCUGAUAUCUUUGUUCAUAACCAGUAGCUUGUACCCUGAGCUGACUGAAUAAUGGCCACCAGCCCCUUUUAUCCAAAAGUUUGCAUCCUCCUUUCCUGCUAAACUAACAGGGAUUGUCAAGAUAGUUUCUGCAUCUUUUUUAUUAAAGUGUUUGAAGACUAGAUUUCUGUUCCAUCUUUUCUGGCAAAUUAGCUCAUGUACUUGCUGAAGUGCAUUAUCAGAAUUUCUCGGGGUUGUCACUCUUCCAUCAAGUGUAUCCGGAAUCCACCUAUCUUCCCAGAUAUUAGUUUUCCUCCCAUUUCCUAUCUUGCGUCUGGUUCCUUGUUCCACCAACUCCCGGGCCCCCAUAAGACUCCUCCAAAUCCAAGAAGGAAUAGAUAAGGUUAUCUGCCGCCUUCCUGAUAAGGUUGGAUAGUCCCUCAGAGCACAGAAGGAAUAGAUAAGGGGAUAGAGGGUCCCCUUGUCUAAUUCCUCUUUUUGGAAUUACAAACUCUUUAACCUCCCCGUUUAUAUUAAACGAGUACGACACAGACUUCACACACUCCAUAACCCAGUUCCUCCAUUUACAGUCGAAGCCCAUUUUUUCCAUUAUUGCCUCCAGGAAACUCCAUUCAACUCGAUCGUACGCCUUGGACAUGUCAAGCUUCACUGCCAUAAACCCAUCCUUACCUUGUUUCUUGUUUUUUAAAUAAUGCAUGUGCUCAUGAGAGACCAUAAUAUUAUCAAGAAUCUGCCUACCAAGAAUGAAGGCAGAUUGAUUUUUACAAAUGCAACAAUGCAAGACACUUUUGAGCCUGUUUGCUAAGAUUUUAGCUAUCACCUUAUAUAAGGUAGUGCAAAGACUUAUGGGUCUGAAUUGCUUUAGAGAUGUAGGAAUCUGCACUUUGGGAAUUAGAGUGAUAAUAGUAUGAUUAACACUCUUUAGGAGGUGGCCAGUAUGAAAAAACGUCUGAAUAGCCUUUAUCACUUGUUGUUUGAUGGUUGUCCAGAAUUUUUGGAAAAAAGUGGUGACAUACCAUCAAUCCCAGGGGCUUUUUCUGGAUUCAUAGAGAAAAUUACAGAUUUUAUUUCUUCUUCCAACACUGGUUUUAACAGGUUUCUAUUCAAUUCAUCAGUUGGUAUGGGGAAUACCAUGCAAAACCUCAUUUAAGUCCCCUCCCUCAUUACUGUCCAGCAAAAUCCUAUAGUAACCUGCUAUUUCAGUACUCAACUCCUCCUCACUCUCUGUCCACGUCCCAUCCUCUCUCUGGAGUUUAUGCAAGCUGUUUCUCCUUCUCUUUCCCUGUACAGAUGCAUGAAAAAAUUUUGUAUUUUUGUCUCCUUCCUUGAGCCAUUGUAUUCUUGAUUUCUGUUGCCAGUGCUUCUCUUCUUCCUUGUAAGCCUUACUUAACUCUUUCUUAAGGGCAGCCCUACUAAUAUUUCUAGAGUUCCCUCUAACUUCUUUCAAGUCGCAUAGCUGCUUUUUAAUGAGCUCAAUCUUGUCCCUAGAGUUAGCUUGGAAGUUGUUCUUCCAUUUUAGGAGAGCUACACGGCAGUUCUUAAUCUUUGUAGCCACUUGAUACAUCCUUGACCCCUCCACCUGCUGUUCCCAAGCAAUCCUGAUUACCUCCCCAAUGUCCUCUCGUUUUAACCAUCUUUUAUCGAAAAAGAACCUGUGUUUCCUUCUGCUCGAGCUCAUCAUUGUGUCGAACAUCAGGAUGCUAUGAUCCGAGGCAUAAGAAUCAAUAUGCCUGCAAUUGACCUUAUCAAACACCUGAAACCAGGGGUAGGUGCAAAGACCUCUAUCCAACCUUUGUUUGACUUCUCCCUCUUCCUCCCAAUUGUUGCACCAAGUCCACGGAUGACCAAUAAAUCCAAUAUCCAGCAAUUAAUAAAAUCUCUGAAGUCAUGAAAGGAUUUCUCCUCUCUACGAAUCCCUCCCCACUUUUCGUCAUUGGAGACUAAAUCAUUAAAAUCCCCAGCUAUCAUCCAUCUAUCUCCCCACAAUCUUUUCCGAUUAGCUAAGACUUUCCAUUGUUCUUUUCUAAUCUGAUGAUCACAGCUCGCGUAAAUUCCUAUAAACCACCAAUCAGUAUUAGCUUCCAUAUCCUCCACGUGAGCUUCAAUGGUAAAGGAAGUCAUAAGGACCUCAAGAAUUUUCACCUCAUCUUUCCAGAAAAGAGCCAUACCUCCUGCCUUAUGCAUAGCCUCAACCACCACCAUUUCUUCAAAUCUUAAAAUGUUUUUCACUUUUUCUAAAUAUCUAGUCCUAUUUUUGGUCUCACUUAAAAACACUAAACUUGGAGAGAAGAGGUUAUUAACCUCUCUCAACUGGGGAACUGUCAAGGGGCUCCCCACUCCUUGGCAAUUCCACACCUGGACCCUCAUUUACCCCCUGGGGUCCUUAUAGGGAAGGACCCUUCACCCUCUGCCCCUAAAUCCUCUGAACCUCCAACUAUGUCGAGCUUACUCUUUUUCUUUUGCAGGUCUUCACCCUUAUCAAUAUCCAAAUCCACUUCCAAUUCAUUAAUUUUUCUCUUCCCAAGGUUUUUCAGAUUCCCCAGAUUAAUACUGAUCCCUUUUAAAGCCUGUUUACGUUUACUAGGAGCUCUCAGAGGUCUCUGAGCCCUUCUAAUAUGCUUCCUAACAACCUCUUGCUGCUUAGUGAUGCUCACAUCAACUACUUGCAUGACCAUAGGCUCAUUUUUUGCCUCCUCAGUGUCAGCCUGCACCUCGAAAUGCAUCUGCUGCUCCCUCAAAAUAGUAUCUCGUUCUCUAUCCACUUCCAUGAGCGGUUGUCCAACCUUUUCCUUCCCCGCCAGCUCUUCUUCAUUCUUUGUUAACCCCUCUUCUGAAGUGGACAUAGGGACCUCUACCCUCACUCCUCCUAUCUGGCUAGGGAAUGGUAAGGUAUGAGCGGGUGUAACUCUCGAUGCCUCUCUCUGACCUACUACCAACUCCUGUCCCCUAUUCCUGUUACUCUUCUCUGCCAGUCCUUUAUUGCUCUCCACCCCCUGUAUAUUGGGAAGACUCUCCCCCCUCUCGAUCUCUACCCAUUCUCCCUGCUGGUAUCUCCAGUGCUGACUUGGAGUAUUAACAAAAACCCCUGUUUGGUUUUUCUGUGGCCCCAUUUUCGCGUUCCCAUUUCCCGCCCUCAUCCAGCUCCCAUAUUCGUUAUCCUUUUUCCCUUCAAUCACCCCUCCUACCAUCCCGCAAGAUCUCUCACUAUGUCCUAUUCUUCCACACCUAUAGCAAAAAUUCGGGCAUCUCUCAUACUUAAAUUGAACCCAUUUAGUCACACCAGCCACCUUAAUAGAGGUGCCUCUUAACAGGGGUUGAUCUAUGUCGACCUGAACAGCUAACUUGAGGUGCCUACCCUCUUUUCCUCCUGUUUGGGGUAUAAUGACAUCCCUAACCAGAUGAAAAACAGAGCCUAUCUUCUUACCAAUUUCCUUAGAAAUGCAAUGGACAGGAAGAUUCCAGACUUGCACCAAUAAUGAUGCAGUAUUAAAGGCUUUAACAUCAUCUUCUAUCCCCUCAUACCAUUUAUUCAUCACUAAUAACUGGUUAUCCAAAAUCCAAGGACCUCCCUUAACUAUUCUAUCCCUAUCACCCUCCUUAGGCAAAAAGAAUUGAAACAGGUUCGGUCCUAACUCCGCAACAAUCAUAUCUUUGGGGUAUCCCCAUGCAGCAGUAACAAAGUUCUUGACUCCUGUAUAGUUGGCUAUCUUCUCUCCCACAAUCUUCCCUAGCAAGCUGCCUUGACAUUCCUUUAUACCUAAUGUUAACUCCUCUGUUCCAACCUCAGUAACCUGCAUUUCUUUACUGGAGAGGGUGAAACCUUUCAGAAUAUCCGCUAUCUCCUCAGCCAUUGGGCUUGAAAGGAGGUAGAGAUGGUAAAAUUCUCACACACACACGAAACUGAACAGAAACCCGAUAACCCCAAACUGGGAGAUUAAACAAAUCUGUUAUUCUCAAGGUAAGACACAGAAAAGACAACGACAGACCAAAACAAGAUGAACCUACCUCUAAUGCACCUACAUUACCAAACAAGGUAAGAAGAGACAAUGUCCGUGAGCUGACCUGCCAGUGAAAACCCACACCAUUGAUGCAUCGUCUUCUCCCUUAGAUCUGGAACCUCCAUUUGCAGCAGCUUUAAUGGAACCCCAUGAUGUAGUAUUAUGGGUGUCAAGUACAAACUGCUCCUCAGAAUAGUGACACUUCCAUCCUACUUGCUAAAAUAGGAAUCCGACACAGAACCUUCUACAUCAAAGUGGAAGUGAUGAGAGAUUUGUCUGAAAGUGAAAAAGGUUGAGUCUUUUAAUUCUUUAUUGCUACUCAGUAACUUUUUAGAUCUUCCACAAUGGAAAGAAAAGCUCUCUUUUUAGAGAGAGAAGGUCCCCUACAAGACAUGGGCCACCCAUUUGGCUUGUAAUUCCAUCAUACCAAAAUUAAGGGUCUAUUUUGAUAAGUGACUAAUUUACGUAAUAAUUGUAUGACAUUUGAUAUUAUUUUUAGUCACUUUGGUUAUAUUAUUGGAAGAAUAUGAAUCAUUUUGGCUAUAAUUGGUGAAUAAAUGUUUUUAAGUGAUUAAAUGAGGUUUUUAUCACUUUUUACUUGGAUUUUGUGUAUUUUGACAGUUUUGACACAUUUUCGUAUUUCGGCUAUAACUUGAGUUACAAUGAUCGGAUUGGGAUGAUUCUUGAACCCAUUUGAAGAUAAGAGAUAUAUCUACAACUUUGGUGAAGACAUCUAAAUCCAGUUUGAAGGUUUUCCAGGUCAAAAUGCCGAAUUACAAUAGCAAAUUUCUACUGGUCGAAACUGGAACAGGGCAAUGAGCAGGCAAGGGUAUUUCAGUCAUAUCUCAGCCUACACAGAUCCAAAUGAGGUGAUUCUUGAUGCAUUAGAAAGAUAACUCAAAAGGCUACAACUUUCGUGUUUUAGACAUGAGCUGGUUCAGCCUCUAACAUCAAGAAAAGAUUGGUUGAAGUUGGGCCAAAAACAGAGCAAGUGAUCCACACUCGGAUCCACUAUUCAUCCGAACCCUCUGUUGUUUCUGGGUUAGUGGAUCCGAGCUCGGAUCCAUACGGAUCCGAGGUACUGUAGCAGCUCGGAUCACUGGUCAGAAAAGGCUGCUCUGUACGCGUAAAACUCAAUUUCACCUCCACCAACUCACAUUGGAUGCUAGACAUGCGAGAAACAUUCCCAGCUGUAAAAGGGAGAUGUAAUCCUCAUUUCUUGACCACCUUUCAUCAUUAAAUAGCCAAAUGCAUUGCAAAAAAGGAGAUGGGGAGUUGAUAGCAGAAAAAUAGAGAGACAUACGGGAGAAGCUUGAAGUUGCAGAAAUGUAGCUCUUUCAUCUCCCUAGUGUUAGUUUAGCUUAGUAUAGAGUAGUGUAGCUUUCCAUUCUUGUUUAUUAUCUAGAUUAGGAUGAAGAUGGAGGAUGAAGAAGGCAAGGAAGAAAGCUCAUGUGACAAGGGUUGUAUUCCUUCCAAACUCUUUAUCUUUUGUAUUUGAUUCCAAGUUUAGUUAAUAUACAAGUUCUGGAUUUUGUGUUCAUUAUGUGUUUCUAAAGUUUAUACCUUGGGUUUGGUUGAACUUUCUAUAAUUGUUAGUGUUUAUUAUUUGGUUAUUUGACUGCUAUGAUUUGAGCAAGUUAUUUAGCACUUUGGCUUCUUAAAUCAUGAUUAAUCUGGUACCAUUGAUUGUGAUUAUCUAAGGUGUUGUUUCUGCAAUGGAAAUUGAGAUUUAACACUAGUUCAAGAAGUGCUAAACAUAGGGAGUACACUCACGAAAGUAGAGGUGCACUUAUGUGGUUUUUAGUGAUUCAUUUCAUGUAAUUUCAUUGAAGAAAUGAACUUGUAGCUAAUUUCAUAACCAUGAAAAUAGGUAUGGAUUAGUUAUGAGUAUAAUUGAUUCACUACGAAAGUAGGAUUCAAAUGCAUAAGGAAAUUACACCAUAAUUAGCCUAAAUGUAGUAAUUAAUGAUCCAAAUAUAGCACUUGCAUGAGUAGUUAGGGAUACCACAACCUAAGGAGCUUUUAUUUGUUAUUUUGUAUAAUUUGAGUAGGUAAAAUUUGUUAUAUUUCAUUGAUAGUCUAAAUAAUAGAGAAGCUUUAGUAGUACCGGUAAUUGCAAUCUUCCUUGUGGGAUCGACCCUUAAUACCCUAUACUCGCUCACGAUUCGUAUACUUGCGAUAAAUCGCGUGUGGGGUAUUUAGGAGUUUAUAAAUGUAAAACUUGAUUAGGAUGAGCUUAAUUGUAUAUGUAUACUCCGCGCACGUCAAGUUUUUGGCGCCGUUGCCGGGGAAGAUUUGGCAAUAUCGGUGUGAAGAGUAACUUUAUUAGUUUAGACAUUUUAUUAAUUAUUGUGUGAAUGUUAUUUUCUGUCAUUUUAGAAUUUUUUAUGUGUAUGUGUUUUAUCACCUAUUCUUCUUACUAAUUUUGCUCUUAAGUUGUUUAAAAGCAAUUUUAGGUGAUGAGAAGGGUAGGACAAUUUGGAGGACAAUGCUUGAGAAGUGGAAGAUUGGUAAUGGAUGGUUACCAAGUGCAAAGCUCCUUUAAUAGAGGCAACCAAGAAUUUACUGAAUGUAUGUCUUUUGAAGAUGGUUUAAGGUGCUUAAAGGCUAAAUUUGAUGUUAUGAUGUUACAAGUUCAAAUGGACACCAUGAUGCAUGAAAUUGAGCAGAGGAGGAAUGUUAAUGUUUUUAAUUCUUAUCAUGUGAUUUGUGACUUGUGUGGAGGUUAUCAUGCUACUAAUACAUGUAUGCAAGCACAAAAUAUGGAUUAUUAUGAUGAAUUAGAGCAUUACAAUCCUUGUUUUGAUCGAUAUAAUGCUAAUUUGAGCAAUUCUCCUGCUUAUGGUUGGAAUAAUCAAUGUACUUAUAGUAAUUCUUCAUAUUUUUAUGAUUACCAACCUGAAUGUGUCCAAUAUGAAUCAAAACCAUCUUGGGAGUUGGCAAUUGAAAUGGUAGCUAAUGAUUCUAAGCCAUCUUGGGAGUUAGCUUUAGAAAAAUUAGCUAAUGCAACUUCCAACCGUUUUGAUAGGAUUGAGGAAAGGUUAGAUGAAUUAGCUUCUCACUUUGGUGAUAUACAUGAGCAAUUGAAUGCAUUGUGUGAAGUUAUUUCCUCUAAUAAUGUGCAAAAUGAUCCUAGCAUGAAUGAUGGGAAUGUUGUAUGUGAAAAUGGGUUGCAUUUUGAUGAAAAUGAUGAAUCUCAAUUGUGUUUCAAUGAGCAAAUGUCCAUUUCACAUGAUAAUAUCUUUGGAACUAACUUUGAGCCUCAAGAGGUGAGUUUUAAUGACUCAUUUUUCACCCCUCUUGAGGAGUGCAGUGAAGGUAUAGGUUCUAAAGGUAUUCCUGCCCAAGAUACUCUCAUGACAAUUCCUUUGGUAAGUUCUCAAGUGGUGUAUAUUCAAGGUAAUAUCUAUGAAACACUUGGGAUAGGUAAGUCACUUCCAUUUCUCACAUCAUUAGUUCAUGUGGAUUUUUCUAUUAAGUCACCUUACAAUGAUCCACCAAGGCCUAAAAUGGUGGAUUAUUCGUUAACUAAGCCUCCUUGAAAAAUGAGGUGAUAUAGUCAAGCUAUUGACUUUAAAGAAGCGCUUAUUGGGAGGCAACCCAAUGCUUGUUUAAGUUGGUGUUACUUUGGAGUGAUUUUAUGUUUAAAGUAUAAGUUUGAGUUAUUUUGUUAUUUUUCAUUUGUAGGUUUUGGAACAAGAUGCAAAAGUGACCAAAUGAGGUGAAAAAGGCGAAGUUUGAUCAAAGAUCUCAAUACCUCAAAUUCAGUAAUUAUGGUUUUUGAUGCAUUAAAGAGGUUUAGAAUGCAUGUUUAGAUCAUUUUACAUGUGCGUGAAUGAUUUAUUUUGACAUAGAAAUGAUCUAGGGUGUAUUUUGAAGAAUUGAGGUCAAACUGAAAAUUGCAAAAAUUCUGCAAUAAGUGCAGAUUCAAUGGAUCCAAGGCCUCGAAUCCAUAUGGAUCCAAGGCCUCGGAUCCACUUCUGCAAUCAGAGAAAAACUUCGAGCUUCUUGAUCCGAGCUCGGAUCCAUAUGGAUCCGAGGCCUCGGAUCCACUUCUGCAAUCAGAAAAAAUUUGAGCUUCUUGAUCCGAGCUCACUUAUCAUGAUCCGACAUCGGAUCCUUUCAAAAACGACCUCGGAUCCUUUCCAAACGAAGCCUCGGACCACUUUUCUUCAUUCUUCCCUCUUUUUCCUCCUUCAACUCCACUUUUCUUCUUGUUGGUUGCAAGCUUUUAUUCUUAAGAAUUGUAUUUUUGUUUUUUUUUCAAGGUGCAUUAAUUGAAGUCUCCAUUCUUUCAAGUAAAGUUGGAAAUUCAUCACAUUGCCAUGGAUUCGGAUCGCGCAAGUUCAUUAGGGGAGUAUUACUUUCUCUUAUUUUCGUUAUUUUUCCUUUCUCACAUUGAGGACAAUGUGAAGUUUAAGUGUGAGGGAGGAAAAUAUUAAACUUGCAUUUACUUGCCAUGUGAUGAUAUUUUGUGGAUAUAAAUGCUUAGAAAUAUUGGAGUUAUGUUUGAAUUAUUUGCCAUGUGGAUAAUUUGCCUGAAAUUGGGUUUGUUGGCAGGGAGUUUUCUUCCAUUUAUACGGGGAAACUCCGUCAAAAUUUGUCUAACAUCUUGUCCAAUAUGUCACUAUGGCCCAAAAGUUCUUCAAAUUUUUGCAUUUUCAUUCAAAAAGGGCUAAUUUGUUCCAACUUUAAAUGUUUUUAUUCUUCCAAUUGUUGAAACUUUAUGUGUAUUUUGGAAGGUUUAGUCCUCAUUUAACUUGGAAAUAGUUAUUAUGCAAUUAGAAUUUUUACAUUUUAGAAAGUAUUUUUGGUAAAGUGAGGAAAAUUAUGCCUAUAAUUUUACAUGUUUAAUGAGAUUUCUUCUCUUUACUUAAUUUUGCAAGUAAGUGAUUGACAUAGUUGAUAAAAGGUUAUACUCCUCCUUUGAUUAGUCUUAUAUAUUUUCUAAGAGGGAAUAUCUAUUUAUUGUCCUUUAGUUUAAAAAAUAAAAAUAAAAAAAGAGAAGAAAAGAAAGAAAAAAUUAUUCUACUCCAAUGAUUUUUGUACCGAGUAACCGGGGGUUGGCAUCUACAAAUGUCGAUUUUCGCGUAAAAAGGUACUUGAAUUAAGAGUAUGCAUUGCAACUUGAAUAAGUGAAAUGUUGAGUAACCAGGAAUCUUCACCUAAAAGUGUCGAUUUUCGCGUAAAAAGGCAUUCUCACUAAUUAAGUAAAAUUAGUAUGAAUAAAUCCCUCUUAGAUGUAAAAUUUUGAGAAAAGGAUGAUUAUAGGAGGAGGAAGGCUAUAAAUCGACUAUGUGGGUUGCUUAUUUGUGAAAUUAGGUUAGGGUAAGAGAUUAAGUUUAACUUGUUGAAUUUAGGGUAUAAUUAUCUUUCCUUUACUUGAUAUUAUGAGUAUUUAGUGUAAAUUGAAUAAUUAUAUAAUAAUUAUUUUCCAAGUCUUGAGGAAUUAAAUUAGACAAAGUGCAUAUAUUGUUUCACCUCUUGAAUCAUUGCAUUUGAUUAUGUGUGAAUUGCUUGAGGACAAGCAAUGAUUUAAGUGUGGGGGAGUUUGAUAAGUGACUAAUUUACGUAAUAAUUGUAUGACAUUUGAUAUUAUUUUUAGUCACUUUGGUUAUAUUAUUGGAAGAAUAUGAAUCAUUUUGGCUAUAAUUGGUGAAUAAAUGUUUUUAAGUGAUUAAAUGAGGUUUUUAUCACUUUUUACUUGGAUUUUGUGUAUUUUGACAGUUUUGACACAUUUUCGUAUUUCGGCUAUAACUUGAGUUACAAUGAUCGGAUUGGGAUGAUUCUUGAACCCAUUUGAAGAUAAGAGAUAGAUCUACAACUUUGGUGAAGACAUCUAAAUCCAGUUUGAAGGUUUUCCAGGUCAAAAUGCCGAAUUACAAUAGCAAAUUUCUACUGGUCGAAACUGGAACAGGGCAAUGAGCAGGAAAGGGUAUUUCAGUCAUAUCUCAGCCUACACAGAUCCAAAUGAGGUGAUUCUUGAUGCAUUAGAAAGAUAACUCAAAAGGCUACAACUUUCGUGUUUUAGACAUGAGCUGGUUCAGCCUCUAACAUCAAGAAAAGAUUGGUUGAAGUUGGGCCAAAAACAGAGCAAGUGAUCCACACUCGGAUCCACUAUUCAUCCGAACCCUCUGUUGUUUCUGGGUUAGUGGAUCCGAGCUCGGAUCCAUACGGAUCCGAGGUACUGUAGCAGCUCGGAUCACUGGUCAGAAAAGGCUGCUCUGUACGCGUAAAACUCAAUUUCACCUCCACCAACUCACAUUGGAUGCUAGACAUGCGAGAAACAUUCCCAGCUGUAAAAGGGAGAUGUAAUCCUCAUUUCUUGACCACCUUUCAUCAUUAAAUAGCCAAAUGCAUUGCAAAAAAGGAGAUGGGGAGUUGAUAGCAGAAAAAUAGAGAGACAUACGGGAGAAGCUUGAAGUUGCAGAAAUGUAGCUCUUUCAUCUCCCUAGUGUUAGUUUAGCUUAGUAUAGAGUAGUGUAGCUUUCCAUUCUUGUUUAUUAUCUAGAUUAGGAUGAAGAUGGAGGAUGAAGAAGGCAAGGAAGAAAGCUCAUGUGACAAGGGUUGUAUUCCUUCCAAACUCUUUAUCUUUUGUAUUUGAUUCCAAGUUUAGUUAAUAUACAAGUUCUGGAUUUUGUGUUCAUUAUGUGUUUCUAAAGUUUAUACCUUGGGUUUGGUUGAACUUUCUAUAAUUGUUAGUGUUUAUUAUUUGGUUAUUUGACUGCUAUGAUUUGAGCAAGUUAUUUAGCACUUUAGCUCUUGAAAUCAUGAUUAAUCUGGUACCAUUAAUUGUGUUUAUCUAAGGUGUUGUUUCUGCAAUGAAAAUUGAGAUUUAACACUAGUUCAAGAAGUGCUAAACAUAGGGAGUACACUCACGAAAGUAGAGGUGCACUUAUGUGGUUUUUAGUGAUUCAUUUCAUGUAAUUUCAUUGAAGAAAUGAACUUGUAGCUAAUUUCAUAACCAUGAAAAUAGGUAUGGAUUAGUUAUGAGUAUAAUUGAUUCAAUACGAAAGUAGGAUUCAAAUGCAUAAGGAAAUUACACCAUAAUUAGCCUAGAUGUAGUAUUCAAUGAUCCAAAUAUAGCACUUGCAUGAGUAGUUAGGGAUACCACAACCCAAGGAGCUUUCAUUUGUUAUUUUGUAUAAUUUCAGUAGGUUUAAUUUGUUAUAAUUCAUUGAUAGUCUAAAUAAUAGAGAAGCUUUAGUAGUACCGGUAAUUGCAAUCUUCCUUGUGGGAUCGACCCUUAAUACCCUAUACUCGCUCACGAUUCGUAUACUUGCGAUAAAUCGCGUGUGGGGUAUUUAGGAGUUUAUAAAUGUAAAACUUGAUUAGGAUGAGCUUAAUUGUAUAUGUAUACUCCGCGCACGUCAUAUUUGUCAGAAAAAAUGUCAGAAUUAACUAAUGUUUUUGAACCCAAAUCUUCUCUUCUUUAAAGGUAAUUCUUUAAUUCUACUGAAAAUGUAUGUCUAAAAGGGCAAAAUAAAUGGAAAUUUUGUCAUGUGAGUAGAACAGUGACAUAAAUAUUACUAUAUCACUGAAUAUGUAGGGAAAUUUAGCAUAGUCUACUUUUUGAGCAUAAGAUAUUUGGUAAAGAAUCCUCAUUUAUAUAUUUAUAAUUCAUAGUCUCUAGUUCAUGAUGCGUACAUUAACGAAUUAGAGGUGAUUUGCACUUGUACCCUUUCGAUAUUUUUUUGAAGCAUUUUGCCUCAUCCAUCAAUCAAAAUCAAGGCUGAUGGUUCAAUAAUGUCUGAACUUCCACAAUUUCCCUUGAACUAGGAACCUUAAUUGCAUUUUGGCCCCUGAUAAAUGUUAUAGGUAUUUUAUACCUAGCAUUCUAAUUAUUUUCCUUUUCUUAAUUCUUCUCCUUUUCUCUUUUUGUCUUUCCUUUGUCUUAUUCUUCAUUUUACUUUUAUUUUUUCGUCCAUUCCUUCUUGUCACUUUUAAGCUAUUAUAUUACUUUUAAUAAUUGAUUUAUUAAAAUUCUAAAGUUUUAAAUAUGUAACAAAAUUUUCGUUUCUCAAUUAUAUAUGCUUUGUAAUACAAGUAAUAAACAAACAACAACCUACAACAAGAUUAACAUCAGAGAUUGCAAUUAAUUAGUAGUGGUGAAAAUCUAAAAAAAAAGUUUUGAGAAAAUAAAAGAAUGACACAAAGAAAAUUAAGAAAACUAAAUGCCGUAGCAUAUGUAAUUCUGAAAUUAAUUAUUUUGAUACACAUAUAAAAAUUAAAUUUUCUAUUAAUCAAUCAUUAAAAUUAACAUAUCGCUUAGUAAUUGCAAGAAAUAAUGGGAAAAUUAGAAAAAUACUAAAACGAGAGAGAGAGAGAGAGUAAUAAAAGGGAAAAAAAUGUGAAUAAGUAAAAUAUCAAGGGUUAUUUCAUCCUUAAACAUGAAUUAAGGAGUAAAUUGAGUAUAAAAUUCUAUAAGGGGCAAAGUGUAACUAGAGUCAUAAUUGAGAGUAAAUUGCAAGCACAAACUUAAGGGCUGUGUUUUAAAAUUCGGACCCGACCGGUCGGUUCGACCGAUUGAACCGGGAACCGGCCAAGUGUCCGGUCCGAGUCAUGCUUAAAAAUCGAGUAAGUAAAAACCCGGUCAAAAACCGGGUUUGACCGGAAAAAUCGGGAUUUUCCGGUUCAAACAGUUUUUUUAAAACAAAAAACUCAAACUUUUUCAAUAUUAUGUUUUGAUCCCUAGAUUGUUAAAAAUUAUUAAUAUAUCUCAAAUAUUUCAUACUUUAUCAAUAUUUUCUUAAAGUUUGGUAUUAUUUUUCAAUUAAGUCCAUAAUUUUAAUUCUAAACUUGUUAAUGCUCAUUAAAUAAUAUAAAUUGUUACUUGAUUGUUCUAAUUUCUUUGUAUUUUCUUGUUAAAUAUAUUUAAAACAUCAAAUAUAUAUGAAUAUACCUUUAUUAAUAUUAACAUGUUAUUAGGUAUUUUACAUAUAAUAUUUUAAUUUUUAAAUAAUUUUUAUUUUUGAUGUCAUCCGGUUCAACCCCUAUCGAAUCUGGUUGAACCCAUUGACCCCUGACCCCUGAGCUUGACCGAGUCGAUACCCGGUCCGAUUCUGAAAACAUAGCUUAAGGGUACUAACAUCCUUCAUCCUAAGAGCGGAACUAGGGGAAAAGUGGGAGGGGAGAGCAUGAAGGGGUUGGAUUUUAGAAAUUCAUGCUUUCCCUCUCCCUCUCAUAAAAUUUUGAGAAUUUCAAAAUCUUCUACAUAUAUUUAGAUAUUUGCCUUCCCCUCACCCCUUCCCCCAAGUUUUAGAAUGUCAUGUUUUCUCCUCCCAAAAGUUUGAGAAUUUUCAAAAUUUCCUAUAUAUAUUAAGCUAUUUGUUCCCAAAACUUUUCAAAAAAUUUAAUUUUGACUCCAAAAUUUACAUAUGCAUUCAUUUUUCCCCUUCAUACUAAAUUUUCUAGUUCCACCAUUGCUUCAUCCAAUCAUUAUCUUCAACUAUUAAUUCGGGUGACAAAGUGCUUAGAAAAUAACGUUAGGUGGUGAAAUGCAAAUUUCUCCAAACAUUUAGCAGAUUUACUGCAGUUAACCGAGGAAAGGCCAAAAGCAAUGUUAGCAUUAAAAACGGAGCACCUGGCUUGGGAUUCCGACAAAAGAAAGUGUAGGAGCAAGUUGUGGAGGAAAGACGUGCUUGUACAAUGGUCCAACACGAUUUUCAUCCACCAUAACUAUUCCAUUUGUUUCCAAGAAUGGAAAAUCAUAUUUAUACCUGUCAACAGAUUCAGCAAGAUUUAAGCAAAAUACUGGAUAUGUAAAAGUAUUGCAUUUUCUUAUCAAAUUAAGAGGAAAAACUAAAUACACUGAUUGAUUUCUACCUGGUACAGUGAAUUAUGACAUCUGCAGCAAUCAAAGCUCCAUCUUGGAAAGCUACCUCACCAUUUUCAUGGCAAUAUUCUAUCUGGUGGGCACCUGCAAAAUUAGGGUUUGUACAGUAAGGAAGGCGUACGAUCAAAUGAAUUUUCGACACACCUAAUUGUAUUGCUUCCGUAUAUUGGAACCACAUCAGAAAAAAAACGAAUAAUCAACCAACUUAAUCAGGUAACAUUAAUCAAAUAUUUUUGUAAGCACCUUAUGAUUUAUAUGCAAUUAGUUCCUAAAUCAAAAUUUAGUUAUUGUACCUUUGGAUGCUGCCAUACAUUUUUGUAGGUCUCGAGUUUUCUGACUUCAACUUGUGGGCAUCUUGAUGAAACAUGAACUUCUUUGGCUACCUUGGCAAUGUCGAAGGCUAUAUCGAAGCCACUUGGCCCGUGACCAAUCACAACUACAACCUGCAACAUUUUCCAAGGGAAACAAAUAUAUAUAUAUAUAUAUAUAUCUUUUGUAAGCACUUGUAGGAAGUCAUUGUAGAAAAUAGAAAAUAGUAACAAUGACUAAGCAAAUUGUUCAUUGAUACCUGAUCCUUGUAAGGCUCAGGAACACGAUAGUUGUGACUAUGAAUUUGUUUUCCGGGCCACUUUUUAAUUCCUGGCAAUAUUAAAGAAGUGAAGAAAAGUUACAAAAUAGGAGUACCAAUAGAAGCACCAAGUCAACGCUGCAGGUGCAGUUGUGCUUAAGGUAGUUAUUCCACUGGUAAUGUUAACCCUAAUUUUUAGUUUUUUUUCCCCUUCCAAAAGUACAUAAAGAUUUCAUUUAAAAUGGCCUAGUCAAACACAUUAGGCUCACAAAGUACUCUUACAAAUUUUAAUCAUAUAGUACUAAACUAGACUAGAUGCCAUCGUUCAUCUGGUUGUACAGUUACAUGCAUCAAACAAAUAUUGUUCUCAUAUGUAUGGUCCAUCACCCAUCCCCCAACCCCACUCCGGGAAUCAUAUAGUACUAAGCUACAUUAUAUGCCAUAGUUCAUGUGGUUGUACAGCUUUAUGCAUAAAAUAAAGAUUGUCUGUAUUUGCAUGUAUGGUCCCCUCUCUCCUCAAAUUAUAUAGUUACUAAACUACAUUACGUGCCAUAGUUCAUAUGGCUAUGCAUUAAACAAAAUUGACUCUAUAUGUAUGCUUCCCCAGUCCCUCCCCUCUUCAGUUUUGAAGGUGGUUUAGCUCCCUUCGCUUCCUAAUGACUAGGGUUAUUCACGCUCGCAAGCGGCUCUUAUACGAGUUCGACUCGAGCUCGAGUUCGAACUCAAAAAUAUUACUCGUUGGUUCGAGAGCUCGAUUAUAUAUAUAUAUAUAUUUUUUUUAUUUUAAUAGUAAAAUUACAUAUAUAUUUCUAAUAUUUUAUUAUUUGUUAAAAAAUUAUUAUUUUAUUCAUUUUUAAAAAUAAAAUAUUUGUUAUUUUAUUUUUUUAAAAUAAAAUAAUAAUAAUAAUUUUUUAUUUUUUAAGCUCGAGCUCAACUCGAAUUUAAGUCGAACUCGAGUUCGAACUUGACAUCUUGAGCUCGUUGAGCUCGAGUUCGAGCUCGAAUUUGAGUUUCAUAAAAUUAACUGGAAGCUCGCCUCGAUUAGGUCAAAAGUCGAUUCGAUUUGACUCGUUUGUACCCCUACUAAUGACUCCGUUACAUUUGUUCCCUUCCUCCAUAAUAUAAGAAUAGUUAUAGUUUGUUGACGUUGACCCAAAAAAAACCCUCCCUCCUCCCCCUUUCCCAGUGGGAAGAAUGAAUACCUGGAGCAUUUACUAAUUUUGGCUGAGUGUUAUGACCAUUACAAACCACGACCAUGUCGAAAUGUUCUUCUUUCUUGAAUUGAUCAUCGCCAUUUGUUUUCGACUCAACAACCCACAUACCAUUCUUUUGCUUAACAGAAACGACUUCAGUAUUAAACUGAAUCAGAUCAUCGAGUCCAAAAUCUCUAGCAAAAUCAUUCAAGAAUUUGAGGACCUCCUUGUAAUCAGGAAAACAUAAAUAUUUACCAUUUUUCUCGAUUGUGAAGGAGUAAUCUGUAAAUUCCAUAAGUUGCGUAGGUAGAUUUGUCCGAAGUGAAUCGUAAAUGCUGCUAUGAACGAUUCUUCUAUUAGGGUCGAGGCCAAGUGGAUCAGUCUCGACUUCAGGAUCGUACACCCACAAACCACCAAUUUGGUUUGAUUUCUCAUAGACCACAAUCUGCUGGCCUUCUUUUUGAAGCUCUCGGGCUGUCAAAAGGCCCGAAACACCAGCUCCGAUCACUGCCACCUUCAGAAGUUGCCGUCCCAUAUAUAAUGGUACAGCCCUGCAGCUUAUCGUAUUAGAUUAAUUACUAAUACUAUAGUGCCAAGGUGUGUAUAUAUAUACACACACAUCCAUACACACACAUAUAUAGUAUUAUAUAACUGCUAUUGUGUAGUAUAGAAAACAUAUUUGUGAGUUUUGAAUUUUUAACAGCUACUUUUUGUUCAAAAAAUUCAAAAAAAGAGGGUUUAUUUUAGGUGUCAAAUGAAAUCAAUAACAAACUUAGAAAGUUUUAUAAAUGCAAGUUACCAGUGAAGGAGGCUGAGGUUGUUGCUCCUCUAUCUUUUAAGGAAUAUAAAUUUUAGUUCUUACAAUUUUAUAGAAUUUUACAUUAACUCCUUGAUACAAUUAGUUGGCAUUUGCAAUCGGAAUUUAAAAAAAAAACAAAAAUUAGUGGCGUACGUACAUGAGCUUUAAGUUCUUCAUUAUUAACAUUCUUUAAGAUCAAAAUUGAAACUACAACUUUUUAAACAUACUUGGUAAAUUUAAGUCGGAAAAGUAUGACCAAAUUGUGGUAUCCAUUUGCUCCAUCGUUACAAGAACAAGAAAGAAAAUGAGAGAAUAGACAUAGUUUUCAGGCAAAUUUAUUCACUACCAGUAUACAAUUUAUAACAUCUGAAGAGCAGUUUAGUUUUCUUGGCGCAUAUUAUGAUGGAAUUCAAACACUAACUGCAAAACUGCUUUUUGUUUCUUGUGCUAAAUUCACAUCAAAUUACAAUUGACUUUGCAGUUAAAAUUGUCACAAAGAUAAGUACGAAAAGGCAAAUCAUUUUUAUGUUGUAGAUAAAGUUAUAUACAAGUUUUGCCUUUGAAAAUGGACAUUUCUAUUGCCAAAUCUGCAAGAUAUUUUUUUUCUCUUCAUUUAUGACAAAUGUAUCCUUGGCUUUCAAGUAAUAAACACUUGAAGAUAUGGGUGUUCGUGUGAUGCAUGAAAGGAGUGGUUUUCUUUGAAAAGGGAGGACAUCUAAAGCAACACACAGAGUAAUUUUCUUACCCCGUAACUUGUGAUUUCUUUGACACCAAAGGAUGACGCGAGCGAUGCUAACUCCCUGACCACUUCUUUGCCAAAUUGCUAUGAUCUGCUUCUAGUACUCGGUAGACCUUCUGAAAAUUUUUUCGAAGUUAUUUAGCUCCUCGUUGAGGGCAUGGAUCUGAUCCUUGCUGGAGACCUUGAUGACAGUGAUAGUAUGAUAUAGUAGUCCCUUGAGCAAACUCUCUACCUCGAGAAGCCAAAUCUUUGCCUUGAUGAGCUAAUCCAUGGCUGCUAGCAAUAAUCUUGCAAAACACUCAUGAAUUUUUUAUUGCAUUCUUUAUUAUUAUCCAGUUUGUCAAAUUUUGUCCACACAUGAGUACCAGCCUGUUCUUGAAGACUUGCGUAUUAACAAAAUGUAAACAACAAAAAAGAAAAGAAUCAUGGAAGUUAGAGAAGAUAAUUACUGAAAAGGGAACGAAAAAGCCAUUCGGUAGCUUUGUCCUUUCGGCCAAAAACAAGAUUAAUGUGUUUAAAAUGCACGCAAACGGGAUUGAUUCUCUCUGAAGAGGCGGGGUACCAAAUUACGUUGAGUUAGUUACCAUGUGAUUGAUGAUUAAAAAUAUGUUACAAUAUACUUAUUAAAUCCGGUCCAGUCGGGCACUGGGUAAAGAAACCGGAUCAAUGGUUACUGGUUCCCAAGUUGAAUCGGUGGAUUAUUAAAAUAAUGUUUAUAAAUAUAAAAUAGUAUUUCUUGCACAUAGUUUAACAAAUUUUCUCUCUUUCUUUUUUUUUUGUUUCUUGAUUAAUUAAUUACUAGCAUGUCAUCAUGUGAAAUAUUCUUAUUGUUCAAGGUAUAUUGCUAUUUUGCUUCAUUUUUUAAAUGUUUUAACAAACAUAUUAUGCACGUACAGAAUCUAUUAUUAUUUGGAAAUGUACUAAAUAUGCUUCAAAAUAGUAACAUUAGGGAUCAAAUUUGCUUUUGUCAAAAUUUUAGGGACUAAAAUUACACCAGGUAUCAAAUUUAUUUUUGCCAAAAAUUUAGGGACUUAAAUUAUAUAGGUACCAAACAUUAAGGACCAAAAUUACAUUUCUUGUUAUUGACAAAUAUUUGGUAGCUUUCUAGAUAUACCCAAAAAAAAGCGAGGCAACGUUUUGUAUAAUUUUGGUAAAUUUACUAUAAUCAAUAUUGAUAAGUGUUUAUUAUAUAUGGUUAUUAGCAGUAUUUUGUACUUUUUUUUUGUACAAGUUAGGAGUUUUUAAGAUAUAACUUCCUUUCUAAGUUUCUAAAUUUUGUAAGUUUCGUUUAAGUAAUUUAAUGUGCAAACUUGGUUAUAUUUGUAGGUUUUGAGGAGAGUUAUCAAUGGUGGAUCGAGAUGGAUUCAAUUUGAACUCAUCAGUGCUUAAUUCAACGGCAAUUUGGAAAGUAGAAGGGCAUCAAAUGCAAGUAUUAUUGGUGAAAUACAUGAGCAAACACUUGGACAUCUUGCCUAUGAUAAUAGUGAUCAAUUGAAGCAGAAAAGAAGCAAGAAAAUAAACCAAACGAGAAAACACGACCUCAAAUAUGCGGGCUCAGGUCGCGUAUUCUGAGGUCAUGUAUUGUACUCUGUCUCUCUACAACUAUUUUUGCAACUUGCGCUAUUUUUACACUACUUUCCAACUCAAUUCUAGCUCAGAAUUUCGAUUGCAUAUGCUCAAGAUUCCUUAAGAAAGAGAAAAAGAGCUUUAUGUCAUAUCAUGAACCACUUUUUGACUCUCCUAACAUGAUAUAUGUGAAAAUCAUUGAAGAAAGAGGGAGUUAGUAUCUUGGAGAGAGUUGUUAUCAGAUUUUAGUUGAAGAGUUAAGUUUUAGUCUGUUAUUACUCUCUCUAGUUAGGAACUUGUAAGAAAAACUUGGAGAAUUUAUUGUACCACUCAUUUUUGUUGAAGAAAUGGAAGAUUUGGGAGCUUGUUCAUCAUCUUGGCUAAACUUUCUGUCUUUCUCUUUACUUGUGAUUCAUUAUGUGUGCAUGCAACUAACUUAUGUUUUUUCUUGUUUUAUAUCAUGCGAGUAGCUAAAUUUCUAGAUUUAGGGAGUAGAUGAAAUUUAUGGCUAUUUGAUAUGAGUUGAAUAUGAUUUAUGCUUGCUACCUCUUGUUUUGACUUGUUCAUUUAUGCAUACUUAUUACUUGUUAUUGCUUGAUCAUCAAUAGCAAGUUUUAGUUGUUACUAUUCAAUGAAAAUUGAUAAUAAUGAUGAAACAAUAUGAAUGAAGCUUAAGGAGUAGACUCAUGAGAAUAGAGAUGCCCUUAAGUGGAUUGUUUUUGCAUUUGAUGAAGAGUAGAUCUAGUUAUUUACCAUGAGAAUAGGGAAAACUAGACUAAUCUAGGCCAUUAUAUCAUGAAAGUGAGUUUUGGUAAAUAUAAAAAUGAAUACCUAGAUAAACAACAGUAGUAGCAAGAGAUAAAUCUAUUCUCUUGCAUCUUUUGUGUCAUAAUUGGACUCUAUUUCUCUAGACUCAAGUAUUUAGUAACAUUUCUCCAUUGUUAUCUUGCAAGUGUUAGAGUUAAGUUAGGUUAUUAAUAAGUAUUGUGAUUUCUAUUGCUUUAUUUAGUAGUUAGUCUAAAUAAUAGAAUAAGCAAGCACCUAGUACUUGCGUUAGUUGUUCCUUAUGAGAUUGACCCGAUAUAUGCCCUAAACUACUAUUUGAUUUGUAUAGUGGCAGUCAAACGGAUGUAUUUUGGAUUUAAAACUUGCAUUUAUAUCGAGAACAUGUCAAAUAUGAUGGCACAAAGAAUGCGCCCAAUUUUCAAAUAUCUGAUACGAAUCAUGCAAUUUAGGUUGCUUUCGCCUUCUUCCAAAUAGGUCAUUUGCUACCAAGUAUUUGUUGGAAUUCUAGGGAUUUUACGAGAGGUUUAGCAAUAAGCAAGUGACAUAAAUAAAUAAAUUAAUCAAUUUAUAGGAAAGAGAACUUAAGAAAAAAUAAGGGGUGCAAAUACAAAGCAACAUUAAAAAUUUCUACACUUUCCAAGUUUAAAAGUAAUUUUUUAAAAAUUGAAGGGGCUUGGGGGCAAUUAGCCGCUAAACUACAUCUGGCUUCGUCAUGGCUUGGUUGAAUCUUGUUAAUUUUCUAACUUAUUGCCUUCUUCCAGUUUUGCUUUUAGUUUUCUAGUAACCUCGUCUGACAUAUAUAUUUUUUCUCCUCAAUUUUCUGACCUUUUGUUUGCUUUUAACAUAUUUUUCUAACUUUCCCUGUAGAAGUUACUUUCUAUGCAAUGACCCUUAAGAAAAAUUAGACUCGCUUGGAUACUAAAGUGUUCGACUUGAUUAUAUUCAUUUACAUCCCUAAUUGAUCCCACUUGAAGCAAUGUAGCUCCGCUUGUACAAUUUGUUGACUAUUACAUGUGCAUCAAUGGAAUUGAAAAAUCAUAAUAUGUGUUUUUUUUUCCACACUUUGUAUGUCAUGUUUUGUUUAGGAUGAUAAUAUGUUGCCAAAAGAUGUGUACCGUCAGUUCCUCUUGUAAUUUGAAGUCUGUGAAGCAGGAUUUGAAUCUCAAUAAUCAAAUGAGAUUGUGGGAAAUUAAAUAAAACCAAACCUUAACCAGACGGUUAGGCCAACCACGAAGGCACCCUUAAUAUUCUCCUUUGAACCCCGGCCCAAGGAGCCACCCUUAAGGCGCUCCUUUAAAUCCUGCUUGGUACCUGAGUUCUUCUUUUUCAUGAACCCAAGUAGUAAAAAUGUCAGUGUGCAAAAUAAUUAACUUAUUUCGGAGAAGAAUAACUAUUAUUUUCAUGCUAUUUAGCUUUUUCAGACACAGAGCUAAGAGGACUCUAAGAGGUCUCCUCUAACCAUUGGAGUCGACCCCAGUAAUUAGUUGGGAAUUUCAUACUACUUUUAGUUAAACAUUGUACACGUAAUUCCUUGAGUUUUGGGAAUAUUUUCCAAUUAAUUUUCCCAAAAAUGUAAUGAAGAAAAUUAGAGCAAAUUCAAUCCCCUAGUAUUUAAAAAAGAAACAAAAAAGAGAAGUAAAGAAAGAGCUCUUUUGAAAAUACGAAUAUCACUUAUCCUGAAAACUCACAAGGAAUGAACAGGAGGAUAAAAAAAUUAGGUUGGACUGCUGAAGCAAGCAGCUCCAUUCGUACCAAUGCAAUCACAUCAUCACCCUCUUCACUUGCACGGUAAAAUUCGUACUCUUCGUUGAGUUGUGAAUUAGGGCACCUCAGUAAAAGAUGGAAGAGCAGUAAAAAGGUGUUGAAGGAAAGACGAAAGAGUGGUAAAGAUUUCACAAGAACAGUAUUCGUGUGGUCCGGAAUUAUUGCAAAUUUGGAAGCCAAGAAACAUAGAGGAGAUAAACUUGCCGCAAUCUUUGUCUUUAAAAAGGCCAACUCUCUACCAGCCGCUCUCUAAAUCCAACCCGUGAAAUCCUAACGAGCUCCACAAGUUUAUCAAGAAUCCUUUUCAGUUGCUCGUCAGUCCGUGGUAACCGUACUUGAGCAGCUAGCCAGUCCAAGUAUAUAAACUGCAACAACAUCCGCAAAGCUAACAUUACUUUUGCAUAUGCACGUAUUCUUUCCUCCACCUCUCAAAAAAAUUUCUUUAGUGAGCAAACUCCUUCCCCGCUCAUUCUUUAGCUUCUCUCAUGGGAGAGGCCAAAUGGUGUCUCACCCUUUUUUUUUUCAUUUUAUCUUUGUAUUCAUAACAAUGUUUCUUGCGAGAGUUUAUCCUCUAUUAGAAUUUUCCUAGUGAGAGUUCUCAUAUUUAAUUUUUUUUAUUUUGUGAGAGUUUUUAUUUUUAUUCCUCUUUUUUUUUAUUUUUUUAUUUUUGCUUUGCUCUUGUUAGAGCCAGCUUCAGUCUCAAAUCAAUUUGGUUAAAUUUAAACUUCCUCGGGGAGCUUGAAAGUGGUACCUAUUAGAUCUGUUUGUAGAGAACAUGCACACAUUAGCUAAUGGAGAUGUAAAGAUUUAUCUGUAUUUUAAAUAAAUUUCAUAAUCACCAAUAUUAUCUUUUCAUUGAUUUUCUCUCCCUUCUGUAUGUUGCAUUUUUUAAUGUAUUUACUGCCAUUAGAGCAAUUUUAUCUAAAUGAUUGAAACUCUUUUGUUUAUUAGGAAAAAUAUGCAAAUACAAACAUGCACAUAAUUAGUUAUAUGAAUGGGUUAUAUUUGCUUUAGUAUUAACUUGACACAGCUUAUACAAAUUAUAACUAUAGUUAUAGUAAAACCUCUAUUAAAUAAUAAUUUUCCAAAUCCCAAUUUAGGCUAAUGAGUUAAAUUAAUAAUUUGAUAAAAUAAUAUUAUAAUAAAAUUUUUUGAAACCUUACAUAACCCUUUGGUCCUACUCAUAUCAUGAAUUAAUAUUCACUAAAAUUACACAUAAACAUUGUUCAAAAUAUGCUUCACAUUUCAUCAAAUGAAUUUUUAGUCCUUCAUUUUUAAAAUAUUAAUUUUACAUUCCUUAAAAAUUUAAGUUAGCAAAAUUUGGUCCCAAUCUAGGAUUUUGACCACUUUUUACCCAGAAUCUAUCAUGUGACUCACACAUGUUUAUUUUUUUGGAGCAAAAAGAUUAAAUACCAUUUGUAAUUAAAUAAAUGAUCCAAUCCAUAUUCAAUUUUUACUCUAAAAAGGUGAAAUCUGAUCCAAACUAUAUAUAUAUAUAUUUCCUUAAAAAAUGUAAGAUAUGACACGAUCUAUAUUCAUUUUUCCUCCUAAAUAAGUGGGAUUUGACUUUUUUAUAUCUAAUGAAUAAUCACAUGUGAGUCAAGUGGUGAUAUCCAAACUAAAAAGUAGUUGAAAAUCUGCAUUGGGACCAAAGUUUACUGACUUGAAUUUGUAAGGAAUGCAAAAUUAACAUUUCAAGAGUGAAGGAUGAAAAAAUCUAUUUGACAAAACGUAAGGGGCGUUUUUAAAAUAUGGGUCUAUUGUUGUUGUUUGUUUGACCUCUUCAUAAUAGAAAAAUUAUAUCAAUUAUAUACGUGCACUGGUUUAUAUGAAUUGGUUCAAGUAGAUAUGAAUUAGAUUUUAUUCGUCAGACUUUUAGCAUCCUUUGAUUAAUAGAAUAAUUCAUAUUUUUAUAAAAUAAAAUAAAAAUUUAGUUCAUUAAAUGAGUGUUUCUUUGAAUUAUAAGUACACCAAAUAAAUUAAUAAAUUAUUAAUUAAUUGAUUAAUUAAUAUCUCUUUAAAUUAAUAGAAUUUGUAUGGUCCCAAAAUUAUUAAUUUAUAGAGGUUUUAUUCUAGUUGCAAACCUGUGCACUGUCUGGCAUUUUAUAUGUUUACACAUUGACCUAUUACAUAUGCAUAUAUGUAUAUGUAUAUGUAUUCUUGAGUUGUUAAUGGGAUUAGCAUUAUAACUUUCAGGUAAAGCAUGUCUUCAAAAGUUUUCUUAAUAAUUCAAAAUAGAUGGGUAAUUUGUUUCUUGAUGGUUGUUCUAUAUAAUUAUAUGCAAAUUAUUGUAUUAACUGGAGAGCUAACAAAUCAUAAGUAUUAAAUGCAUCUUAUCCUUUUCAUUUAAUGGAAAAAGUGAUCUAAAAUGCAGUUCUAAAAGUUUACACAUGCACUAAAACAUUUGAAGGCUGGUGGAAAUGGUUGUCCCAUCUGCUAAUACUCAGGAAGACUUAUAUACCCACAUGCUUUAAAUGCUUGUACGUACCUUCUUCAAAUAGACAAAUCAUAAUCUAAAAUUAAAGAUUGAAGUACUUAGAACCCUAGUUUAGAAAAUGUGUCUACCUAAAUAUUUGCAUUUUCUAUGGCUGGUUUAAAUGUUGCAAAAAAAUAUUUACCCACAUUUUUUGGUUUUAUGAACGGUGUCAAAAUCCAAUCGAAUGAAACCAUCUAAAAUUUACUCAAAAGUUGGAUGACAACUGAAUAUUACCGUAUCAUUGCAGCUGAGAAACGUGUGAGUAUGGUGCUUAGGAACGCCGGUUUCCUCCAUAAGUCGGUAGUGUUCUUCCACAUCCGCCACCAUCUUUUCUCUGGACGGCAAAGUGACCUUUCCCGACAACGCUCGCGCCACCCACUUGGCUUGUAAUUCCGCCACACGAAAAUUGGCAGUCUACAUGUGAAAAAAGAAAGAGCCAAAAUUAACUAUGCUUUUAAUCCCAAACCUUCUCCGUUUUAAAUCUAACUCUUUAAUUCUAUUGAUACUGCAUGUCUAGGAGGACAAGACAGAGGAAAAUUUCAUCAUGUGUGUUGAUUCUUUCCACAGCCGCAAUGUUUGACUGUGGCAUAAGUUUUUCAUCCCACAUCGCACAAAGCCAAGAAGAAAUCGGCUACUCGAGGCCUAUAAAAGGAAGAGUCCUCUGAAGAUUUUAAUUCGCACCACUCAAGAGAGUUAUAUGGGCUAUUAGCUUCUUGAGUCAUCUAGCCCAUUCAGUCAAAUAUUUUAGGCUCUCUUGUUUUGAGUUUAGGAAUAUUUUCUAAACUCUUUUGUAAGUGCCUAUUGGCCUAGGAACCACUUUCCUACGGUCUUUUGUAUUUCUUCUUCAUAGUAGAAAUAUUGCUCCUCUCUCGCCCGUGGACGUAGGUCAAUUUGACCGAACCACGUAAAUCUUCUGUGUCUUUUAUUUGUUUUGUUAUCCGUCUUUAUAUGGUCGGUUUUACCGCCUAAUUAUUAUAUGGCCGGUAUCUACCGCCUAUCUAUUAUAUGGUCGGUUAUACCACCUACUUUGUGCUAACUUGAGUUUGUCUAUUCCUGGCCCUGUCCUAACAAACUGGUAUCAGAGCUGGUUGUUAUAUUUUGCAAGACAGGUUCAUCUGGUGGGGCCCGUUCAUCUGGUGGGGUCCGUCCAUCCUGUGGGGCCCACUCAUCCUGUGGGGUCCAUUUAUCCGUGGGGCCCGCUCACCUUGUGGGGUCCGUUCAUCCCCGUGGGGCCCGCUUAUCUCGUGUGGUCCGCUAACCCUGUGGGGCCCGCUCACGAGACUUGCAUAUUUGUUUGGCCAGUUUUUUGAGACAAACUUCACGUUACAGAUUUUGUGGCAACAAUGACGAUAACAAAGACGGUUGUCGAGAAAUUCGACAGGAAUGUCAACUUCGGAAUGUGGCAGCUCAAGAUGGAGGCCAUUCUUGUUCAAGACGGAGUUGAUCUAGCGAUUCACGGAAUCGAGAACAAACCAGAAGAUGUCAAGGAUGCGGAUUUCGCCGAUAUGGAUAAGAAGGCCAGAUCCAGCAUAAUCUUAAAUCUCUCCGAUGAGGUAUUGCGUGAGGUAGCAACGGAGACUUCGGCCAAGGCUAUGUGGGAUAAAUUGAAAGCCUUGUAUAUGAAGAAAACAGUCGAGAAUCGGCUAUAUUUGAAGCAGAGUUUGUACAUGCUUCGGAUGUCUGAAGGUACAUCUAUACUCUCCCAUCUUGAUAAAUUUGAUUCCAUUAUUAUGGAUUUGGGGAAUAUAGAUUCGAAAAUUGAUGAUGAAGAUCAAGCCCUAUUACUUUUGUGUUCCCUUCCCCAAUCUUUUAAGCAUUUCCGCGAUACUAUGAUUUAUGGAAAGGAAACAAUUUCGUAUCGGGAAAUUAAAUCUGCAUUAAAAUCUAAAGAGCAGAUAGAUAGGGAUAUUACUGGGGAAACUAGUGGGAGUCAAGCCGAUGGCUUGUUUGUUCGGGGUAGAUCUGAAAAGAGAAACACAGAAAAUAGAAGUAGAUCCAAGUCCAGACAUAAAAAUGUGGUGUGCAAUUAUUGUAAAAAGAAGGGCCAUGUUAUCUCUGAUUGCUUUAAAUUGAAAAAUAAAGAAAAGCAAAAAGGGAAAUUUGUUGAGAAAAAUACUGAAUCCGCUGAAGCUAGUAUAGCAGCUGAUGAGAAUGAUGGAACCAUUUUCUGUGCAACGGAAAAUAAUUUUAGGUCUAACAAUGAGUGGAUUUUAGAUUCGGGUUGUUCAUAUCAUAUGUGUCCCAAUAGGGACUGGUUUUCAACAUAUGAAUCAGCUGAAGGUGGAGUUGUCUUAAUGGGCAACAACGCUGUUUGUAAAGUUGUUGGCAAAGGCACAAUCCGGAUUAAAAUGUACGAUGGUAUUGUGAGGACGCUCACAGAUGUUAGACAUGUUCCAGAUUUGAAGAAAAAUCUCAUCUCUUUGGGCACUCUUGAGUCUAUAGGGUGCAGGUAUUCAGGUGGAGACGGAGUUCUCAAAAUCACUCGAGGUGCUCUUGUUGUUAUGAAGGCACACAGAUCUGGUACUUUAUAUAUUUUGCAGGGAUCUACUGUUACAGGUGCUGCUGCUGUUUCAACAUCAUCUUUGUCAGAUACAGACAUCACCAAAUUAUGGCAUAUGCGUUUGGGGCACAUGAGCGAAAAAGGCUUAGGCAUACUAAGCAAAAGGGACUUCUUUGUGGUCAAAGUAUUGGAAAGAUGGGACUCUGUGAACAUUGCAUUUUUGGAAAGCAGAAGAGAGUUAGCUUCCAGUUGCCGGCAGUUCACAGGACCAAAGGAACUUUAGACUACAUUCAUUCAGACCUCUGGGGGCCUUCUCGUGCUCCUUCUAAAGGUGGUGCCAGGUACAUGUUGACUUUCAUUGAUGAUUAUUCAAGGAAAGUUUGGGUAUAUUUUCUUAAGCAUAAAAAUGAUGUUUUCCUAACUUUCAAGCAAUGGAAAGUUUUGAUUGAGAAGCAAACAGGAAAACACAUUAAGCGGUUGAGAACAGAUAAUGGCAUGGAAUUUUGUGGAGGUGAAUUUAAUGAAUUCUGCAAGAAUGAAGGAAUUGUUCGGCAUCACACCGUCAGGAUGACGCCUCAACAAAAUGGUGUGGCCGAACGUAUGAACAGAACUCUUUUGGAGAGAGCAAGAUGUAUGAUCUCCAAUGCAGGGUUGACAAACGACUUUUGGGCAGAGGCGAUCAAUAUGGCCUGUUAUAUUGUCAACCGUUCUCCUUCUGCAUCUCUUGAUUUCAAAACUCCUGAGGAAGUUUGGUCAGGUACUCCUGCUGAUUACUCCAAUUUAAAAGUUUUUGGGUGUCCAGCAUACAUGCACGUGAAUGAUGGAAAAUUGGAGCCUAGGGCUAAAAAGUGCAUUUUUCUUGGGUAUGCUUCUGGGGUGAAAGGAUACAGAUUAUGGUGUCCUGAUCCCAAAUCUCCAAAAUUUGUGAUCAGUAGAGAUGUUACUUUUGAUGAAUUGUCUAUGUUAUCUUCCAAGAAGGAGUCUUCUAGUCCUUGUACUACUGAUAGUACACAGAAGCAGGUGGAGCUUGAUAUUGGCAGUUCUGGUCCUUCUCAGACCAAAUCUUCUAUUCAACAAAUGCCAGUAGAUGCACCUGAGUCUACUGUGGAAGAUAGUUCAGAAGAAGAGGAAUAUUCCAUAGCCAGAGAUAGAGCAAGGAGAGACAUUCGACCACCACAAAGAUAUGCAAAUUUAGUUGCAUAUGCUUUGUCUGUUGCAGAAGAAACUGAUGCAGUUGGUGAGCCUUCCACCUAUUCAGAAGCAGUUUCUUGUGAUGAUUCUGCAAAGUGGUUGAUUGCGAUGAAUGAAGAAAUUGAAUCUCUUCAUCGUAAUGAAACUUGGGUUCUUGUAAAGCCGCCGUCAGCUAAGAAAAUUGUUGGAUGCAAAUGGGUCUUCAAGAAAAAGGAAGGUAUUCCAGGGGUUGAAGAUGCAAGAUAUAAAGCACGAUUGGUUGCAAAGGGCUAUAGUCAGGUACAAGGUGUUGAUUUUAAUGAUAUAUUCUUACCUGUUGUUAAACAUAGCUCUAUUCGUGUUUUGCUUGCUUUAGUUGCCAUGUAUAAUUUGGAGUUAGAGCAGCUUGAUGUUAAGACAGCUUUCUUACAUGGCGAACUUGAAGAACAAAUUUAUAUGAACAACCCCAGGGUUUUGAAAUUGAAGGUAAGGAAGACCAUGUUUGCUUAUUGAAGAAAUCCUUAUAUGGAUUGAAGCAGUCUCCAAGACAAUGGUAUAAAAGGUUUGAUUCCUUUAUGUUGGGUCAUGGUUAUUUGAGGAGCAUGUAUGAUAGUUGUGUUUACUUCCGGAAGUUAAAUGAUGGUUCUUUCAUUUAUUUGCUGCUUUAUGUUGAUGACAUGCUCAUUGCUGCCAAGAAUUUGUCAGAAAUUCACACUUUGAAACUGCAGUUAAAUAGUGAAUUUGAAAUGAAAGAUUUGGGAGCAGCUAAGAAAAUUCUUGGCAUGGAUAUCAAGCGAGAUCGAGGAGUAGGGAAGUUGUUCUUGACCCAGAAAAAUUACCUUGAGAAAGUUUUGGAGCGUUUUGGCAUGAAAGAUGCUAAACCAGUAUCUACUCCUCUUGCUAGCCAUUUUCGGCUAUCUGCUGCUCAAUCACCAAAAUCAGAUGAAGAGGAAGAUUAUAUGGCACAGGUUCCUUAUUCCAGUGCAGUCGGCAGUAUUAUGUAUGCAAUGGUUUGUACUCGUCCAGAUAUUGCACAAGCAGUCAGUGUUGUUAGCAGAUAUAUGUCUUGCCCUGGUAAAACACAUUGGCAGGCUGUGAAGUGGAUUCUCAGAUACUUGCGAGGUACUUCAAAUGCAUGUUUGGAGUUUGGAAGAAAUAAUAACACUUUGGUUGGUUUUGUAGACUCAGACUACGCUGGAGAUCUUGACAGGAGAAGAUCACUUUCAGGCUAUGUAUUUUGCAUUGGCGGUUGUGCUGUUAGUUGGAAAGCUACUCUACAACCUGUCGUAGCUUUGUCUACUACAGAAGCAGAAUAUAUGGCUGUGACCGAGGCAAUCAAAGAAGCCUUGUGGUUGAAGAGUUUAUUUAGCGAGCUAAGUCUAUAUCAAGGUGUUACUGAUAUUCACUGUGAUAGUCAAAGUGCCAUACACUUGACUAAAGAUCAGAUGUAUCAUGAGAGGACGAAACACAUUGAUGUGAAGUAUCACUUCAUUCGGGAUAUCAUUGCUGAGGGAAAAGUCCUUAUUCAGAAAAUCAAUACUAAGGACAAUCCAGCCGAUAUGUUUACGAAACCUCUUCCAAUUUACAAGUUCAAACAGUGCUUGAACUUGAUUGGUAUUCAUUGUUGGUGAUUUAUGCCCAUUGGGGCUUAUGUGGAGAAGGUGGAGCAAUUUUACUAUUGUCGAUAGUGGUACUCAAAAUUAUGCCAAGGUGGAGAUUUGUUCACAACCCUUUUUGUUUCUCUCUUUUUCUCCAAAGCUCUCUCCCUUUCUAAAACUAACUAAAACUAAAACUCAUGAAAAGCUACUUCUAAGACUAAAGGCCACUAUUUUAUAAUCUUCAAAAGCUCUUGAAUCUUCCACAAGAAACUUGGCUUGGUGUUGAAGAAUCAAGAUUGUGAGAUGAAAUGACACAAAGUUGACAAAAGUUGAUAUUUUGGACCCAAAAUAUUGCUACCAAAACGUCAUGGAUGUUGUCAAAAAAAAAAGGAUGAAAAGAUAUCUGCAAGUUGCGCAAGUUGCACAAAUUGCAGAUUUUUCCCGCUCAAAUAUACGAAACGGUAUCUGAAGCGAAUUUCACUAUCCGGCGCCAUAUACUGUUAAACAUUCAUUUUCAAAACAUUCUCUGACGAGUAUCUGGCGCGACUAUCUAACUUCACUUUCUCAAUCCGACGUCGCAUACUGCUCAACACUUUUUCUUUUGUAAAACCUUCUGGCGGGUAUUCGAUUUAAUAUCUGACUCGAAAUUCACUAUCCAGCCCCGUAUACUGUCAUCCAAUUCGGUGAUGACUUUUUGUAAACGGCCUCGUAUUGUCCUUGCUCCUUCAUCCCUACCAAAAUAUGAUAAACAUUAACAAUUAAAAGGGACGAAUUCACAAGUCUUCUCAACAUUAUUCAAAGACAUCAAAUAUUGCCAAAAUGGUUACUCACAUUACCUUAGGAGCUCAGAAUUAACUAUAAAUAAACCAAAAUAUGCAUAAAGUAUUAGGUAAAAUGGACACUUGUCACUUCUUCUAAGACUAAAGGCUCCUCUAUUUAUAAUCUUCAAGAUUUCUCCCAAUCUUUCAUAAGAGGCUUCAUUUUGUCUUGAAGAGUCAAAAAGAUACAAUUGAGUGACAUAAAGUUGAUCAGAAUUGAUGUCUUGGAUCCAAUAUGUAACUGUCAAAAUGUCAUAAAUGCUGCAAGAAAGAAGGAUGAAAAGCUGUGCAAAUUACAGAUUUUUCCUGCCAAAGUAUCCGACGCUGUAUCUAAAGCGAAUUUCACUAUCUGGAGCCGUAUACUGCUAAACACUCUUCUCUGAAAAAUUCUCUGACGAGUAUCGGGCACGAUUAUCGGACUUCACUCCUUCAAUCUGACGUCGUAUACUACUCAACACCUUUUCUCUUGCAAAACAAUCUAGCGGGUAUCCGAUUUGAUAUCUAACUCGAAAUUCACUGUUCGACCCCGUAUAUUCUCAUCCAAUCCGAUGAUGUCUUUUUGUAAACGGCUCCGUAUUGUCCUUACUCCUUCAUCCCUAUCAAAAUAUGAUAAACAUUAACAACUAAAAAGGAUGAAUUCACAAGUCUUCUCAAUGUUACUCAAAGACAUCAAAUAUUGCCAAAAUGGUUACUCACAUUAUCUUAGGAGUUCAUAAUUAACUAUAAAUAAACUAAAAUAUGCAUAAACUAUUAGGUAAAACGGACACUUGUCACACCUCCACACUUGAAUCAUUGUUUGUCCUCAAACAAUGCAAAAAAUUAACCAAAACCAAUGAUUCAAAGUAGUGGAAGAGCAUACAAUGGAGACUCAUGUAUAAGGUACAAAAGAGACGAUCACUAUGUAAGGUUUGGAUCCCAAUUCUAGUACUCCAUAAUAUCAAAUAAAGGAAAGCUUAUCAUACCAAUAUUUGAUCAAAUCCAAUACAAUGCCUCAUCCCUAAUCUAAUCAUGCUUGUUAUGCAACUAGCAUAAUUAACAAAUGUAAAAGCUAAACUUGUAACCACCCCUUAGAACUUAUACAAACAAGGAUAAGAAACUAAGAAAACUUUUACACCUUGAUCACAUGCUUUCUUUUUUUCUUUUUUUCUUUCUCAUCAAGCUUUACUUGAGUAGUGAACUUGUCUUUUGACGCAAAGACAAACAUUGGUAGAUACAUGCCCCCAGUUACUGGAUCAACUCACAAACUUUCGUUGCUUUGCAUACUCUUAGUUCUAAUACCGUUUUACACGAAUGCCGACAUUUGUAUAUGUCAACCCGGUUACUAAGUGUUUCGAAUCAUUGGAGUAGAUGCAUAUGUAAUCAACAAUCAUAACAUUUUCAAUUUUUUUCUUUUGUGAAAGCAAAAACACAUUACUUGAUCUUUGCAAAAGCUAGAACUAAGGAAAAAAUUAUAAGAAAAGUUUCACGUUCAUCAAUCAUACCAAUCAGACAACUUACAUAAACAAAUCAAGAACAAUACAUUUCAUGAAUUUAAGGAAAUCUCAAUAUGAUAAACGCUACUUUAUAAGACAUUCAGUUUCCUAAAAAUGAAAAUUUUUCACCUACAUAACAACAAUCUCAAAACACCUUACACAUAAUCUCGUACAAUAGGCACGACAUAACCAUCAACACUAUUGGUACUAAAGUUUUUGAAAAAAUUUUGAUAGAAUUUUCCCUUUAUUUUGGCCAUUCUCCCUGCCAACAAUCCCAAAAUCCAACAUUUCAAAUAUACCAAUAUCACCAAAUAUCAAAUUUUUCAACAAAUAUAUCAAUUUUCACAUAUAUACCAAAGGAUGCAUUCAAUUCCAACCAACCUUACCCCCACACUUAAAUUACAUAUUGCCCUCAAUGUGAAAAGGUAAAAGGAAAGAAAAGGAACACUCUCCUAGCAUAAUAGGUGAUUUGUUGUGGUUGGGCACUGACGGAUUUUUGAUAUAAGUACAAAUUUAAUUCCGAAAUAUACCCGUUUUGACUGCAAGUAUAUAGGUCAAAUUAGUAGUUUAGAGCAAAUAUUGGGUCGAUCCCACGAGGAAAAUUGGAAAACUACCGGCACUACUAAAGUUUCUCUGUUAUUUAGACGAUCAAUGAAUUAAAAGAAAUAAAACUAUGCUAAACCUAUGCAAGAUAAUAACAAAUGAAAACUCCUUAGGUCAUGGUAUUCCUAACUACUCAUGCAAGUGCUAUUUUUGGAUCAUUGAGUACUACUAUCUAGGCUAGUUAUGGUGUAAUUUCCUUAUGUAUGUGAAACCUACUUUCGUAGUGAAUCAACUAUACUUACAACUAAUCCAUACCUACUCUCAUGGUUAUGAACUUAGCUACAAGUUCAUUUUUUCUAUAAAAUUACAUGAAAUGAAUUACUAAAACCACAUAGGUGCACCUCUACUCUCGUGAGUGUACUCCUUAGGUUUAGCACUUCUUGAACUAAUGUUAAAUCUCAAUUUUCAUUGAAGAAACAACACCUUUAGAUAAUCACAAUUAAUGGUACCAAAUUAAUCAUGAUUUAAAGAGAUAAAGUGCUAAAUAACUUGCUCAAAAUAAUAGCAUCAAAUAGCCAAAUAAUGAACACCAACAAUCAUAGAAAGUUCAACCAAACUCAAGACAUAAACUUUAGGCACACAUAAUAAACAUAGAAUCCAAACUUGUAUAUUAACUAAACUUAGAAUCAAGUACAAAAGAUAAAGAGUUGGAAAGGAAAAGUAACCCUUGUCAUAUAAGCUCUUUCCUUGCCUUCUUCAUCUCCAUCUUCAUCUUUGCUUAGCUAAUAAACAAGAAGGAUGAACUACUAGUUAAACUAUCCUAUACUAUACUAACCUAACACUAAGAAAAUGUAAGAACUACAUCUUUGUGAUAUUUCUUGCACUCUUCAAGCUUUCUUGACUCUUGCAAGUCCAUGGCUAUUUAUAGAUGAUUUAGUCAAGAAAUGAGGCUUCAAACAUCACUUUUACAGCUGCAAAGUUGUUGUCACACGUCCAUUAAUAGCUGUGAAUUAUUGGAGGAGGAAACAAGUUGUACAAGUGGAGAGCAACCAUUUUUGACCAGAAUCCAGCCAAGAAUCCGGCCAUAAUCCGGCCGGAUUGUUGGCCGGAUUACUCCCCUGCCUUCCUGUGCAAUUUUUGUCCAGUCUUCAAUAUUGCUCCAAUUUUGCCUCAAUUGCAACUGAAUUUUUCUUGAUGAUAGAAGCUGAAUUAACUCUUGACCAAAACAUGAAACCUAUAACCCUUUGAGUUAGCUUUCUAAUGCAUCAAGAAUCACCUCAUUUGAAUUUGUGUAGGUGGAGAAAUGACUGAAAUACCCUUGACUGUUCAAUGCCUUGUUUUAGCUUCGACCAAUAGAAAUUGGCUACUGUAAUUCGGCUUUUUAACUUGAAAAACCUUCAAACUGGAUUUUGAUGUCUUCAUAAGUUUUGUAGAUCUAUCUCUUAUCUUCAAAAUGGUUCAAGAAUCAUUUCAAUCGAUAAUUUUAGUUCAAGUUAUAGCCGAAAUACGAAAAUGUGUCAAAACUGUCAACUUUCCUUUGCAUCCAAAUAAAGUAUAUUUCCAACUCCUAUAUAAAUUAUGGAUAAAAUACAAGUAAAAAGUGGAAAAAUCUCAUUUAAUCACUUAAGAGCAUUUUACACCCAUUAUAGCCAAAAUGAUCCAUUUUCUUCCUAUGAUAUUGCUAAAGUGACUAAUAAUAGCAUAAAAUAUCAUUCAAAUAUAGCAUAAAUUAGUCACUUAUCAGGCACCGUUGAUUUCCAAGUAUCUAUUGAAAUACACUCGUUUUACCUUUAUUCUUCCAACCUACAAAUUGAAAGCAAACACACUUAAAACAUAUCAAAAUAUAAGAAAUUUUAAAAAAUCGUUGGUUGCCUCCCAACAAACUCUUGUUUAUAGUUAUUAGCUUGACUAUUUUGCCUCAUUGUCAAGCAGACUUUAUCAAAGAGUAGUCCACCAACUUAGGUUGUGGUGGAUCUACAAAUGGUGGCUUGAGUGAAUGAGUCACAUAUCCAAAAGAUAAAAGAGUAGGAAGGGAUUUACCUGUUCCAAGUGUUUUAUAGGUAUCACUUUGUUCGUACAUCACUUGAGAAUUCAUCAAUAAAUAUGUCCCAGGAAUUACUUGUGCAAUCCUGCUUUUAGAACCUAUAGGUACUAAAUAUUCCUCAAGAGGAGUAACAAAUGCAUCAUUCAAAGUUACUUCUUGAAUUUCAAUAUUAAGUCCAAAAACAUUAUCAGAAUGGAUGGAAAUAAUAUCAUAAUCAUCUUCUAAACACAAUUCACUUCUACAUGUAAUACCCAUACCAUUAUCUCUAGAAGAAAUAGCAUAAAAUUAGAUGAAAUAACUUCACACAAUUCAUGUAAUUAGUCAUGUAUUCUACCAAAGUACAAAGUCAAUUCUUCUAUUCUAUUCUCAAUCUUAGCAAAACGGUCGGAUAUCACAUUAGUUAGCUUUUCUAUAUCUAAAUCCACUUCAUUAGUAAAUUUUUCAAUAGCUUGCUCCCAAGGUAGUUUAGAUCCAAAGACUACUUUUUUAAUGGUUUGAUUAGAGUCGUUCAUUAGCCUUUCUAUAACUAACUCCUAUGAUGAAUUUGAAUCAUACUGGACAGGUUGGGGUUGAAAAUCAAAAAAAUUGAAAAAAUCAUCAAAAACACAAUAAUCAUACCAACCAUAAUCAUGCAAAUUACCACAAUUAGAAUCAUAGUGAUCAACAUAAGAAGUGCAAUGCCCAAAUUCAUCAAAAUGACCCACAUAUUGUACUUGCAUAUAUUGAUAAUUAGAAUGGUAACCUCCACACAAGUCAUAAACCACAUUAUUUGAAUUCUAGGCAUUAACAUUCCUAUGUUGCUCAAUUAAAUGCAUCAAACUGUCCAAUUUAGUAUUAAAUCUCAACAUACUAUCAUCAAGGGACAUACCUGCGUGAUUAUCAUGAAUUCCUCUAUUGUUAUAGUUUUGAAAGUUUGAAGGAUUCACUUCUUCUCUUCCUUCUCUCAAACAUUAUCCUCCAAAAGUAUCUAUCCUUCUUAUUUCUUAAAGAUGUUUUCAAAUGCCUCAAAAGUAAGAUUAGACAAAAAAAAUAGAUACUAGUAACACACUCAACAAAAACGAAAACAAAACAAAACAAAACAAAAUAAAAUAAAAUACACACAAACAAACACACCAUUACACAAACAAAAAAAAAAGGAUAAAAAUAGCACAAGGGAGCAAAUAAAAAUGUCUGAAUUAAUAGAGUCACUCUUCAUGCCGAUAUUAUCACAAAUCUUCCCGGGUAACGGCACCAAAAACUUGACGUGCGCGGGGUAUGCAUAAAACAAUAAAACUCAAUUUACAGUCAAGUUUUGAAUUUAUAAUCUCCUAAACUACCCCACAUGUGAUUUUUCGCAAGUAUAUGGUCGUGGACGAGUAUAGGGUAAUUAGGGUCGAACCCAUAGGGAAGACGAACAACUACUGACACUACUAAAGUUUCUCUAUUAUUUAGACUACCAACAAAUUAAAAUCAACAAAUCUAAACUACUAAUAGGAAGAGAAUACAAAUGAAAGCUCCCCGAAUAAUGGAAUCCCUGUCUACUCAUGCUAGUGCAACUUCUCGACUAAUUGAGUAUUAAAAUCUCGAUUAAAACAUGGCGUAAUUUCCAUGUGUACGUGAUACCCGCUUUCGUCGGUGUACCAACCAUACCUAUAGCUAAUCCAUACCUACUUUCGUAGUUAUGAAAUCAGCCAUAAACUCAUUUGCUUCUAUGAAAUUACCAUAAAACAAGCCACAAAAGUGCACAUCUACUUUCGUGAGUGUACUCUCUAGGUUUAACACUUUCAUGAACUAGUAUCAAAAUUUAAUUUUCAUUGCAAAUCUAACACCUUGAGAUUAUCACAGUCAAUGGGCAUUUAAUCAUGAUUUUGACAACAAAAGCACUAAAUAACUCAAUCAAGAUAACAGCCUAAAAUACCCAAGGCAUAAACUUCAAAACAACAUCACAAACAUAAUACCCAAAACUUGCAUUAACAAAACUUAGAAUCCAAUCAAAGAUAAAGAGGUGGAGAGAAGAAAAACUCUUGUCACUAGAGCUUUUUCAGCCUCUCCAUCUUUAUCUCUAUCGGCCUCCUUGUUGAGUCAAUACAAGAGUGGAUGAACACACACUAUAAUAGCCUACUCUAAAACAAGAAAAGAAAAAGAUGAGAGCUACAUUUGUUGAGGAUUUGUGUCUUGCCUCAAAGGGUAAGACGCAACCCCUUUUGUCUUUCUUCUUUGCUCCAAGAUUCUUUCUCUCUCUAAAACUAACUAAAACUAAAACUAAAUCUCUCCAAAAGCUUCUUCUAAGACUAAAGGCUCCUCUACUUAUAAUCUUCAAGAUUUCUCUCAAUCUUCCAUAAGAAGCUUCAUUUUGUGCUGAAAAGUCAAAAAGAUACAAUUGAGUGAUAUAAAGUUGACCAGAUUGAUGUCUUGGACCCAAUAUGUAGCUGUCAAAAUGUCAUAAAUGUUGCAAGAAAGAAGGAUGAAAAGCCGUGCAAGUUGUAGAUUUUUCCCGCCAAUGUAUUUGACGCGGUAUCUGAAGCGAAUUUCACUAUCCAGCGUUGUAUACUGCUAACACUCUUCUUCGCAAAAUUCUCUGACGAGUAUAUGGCGCGAUUAUCCGACUUCACUCCCUCAAUCUGACGUCAUACUCAGUAUCUUUUUUCUUGCAAAACCUUCUAGCGGGUAUCCGGUUUGAUAUCUGACUCGAAAUUCACUGUCCGGCUCCGUAUACUUUCAUCCAAUCCGAUGAUGUAUUUUUGUAAACGGCACCGUAUUGUCCUUGCUCCUUCAUCCCUACCAAAAUAUGAUAAAUAUUAACAACUAAAAAGGAUGAAUUCACAAGUCUUCUCAAUGUUACUCAAAGACAUCAAAUAUUGCCAAAAUGGUUACUCACAUUAUCUUAGAAGCUCAGAAUUAACAAUAAAUAAACUAAAAUAUACAUAAACUAUUAGGUAAAACGGACACUUGUCAUGAAUCUCAAUAAUCAAAUAAAAUUGUAGGAAAUUAAAUAAAGGGAUAAUUUCAAAAACCUCUCCUCAGGUUUCUGAUUAUUUCACUGGCUUCUCUCCAAGUUUUGAAAAUUACACUAACUUCCCUUGAAAUUUAUUAUCUUGUAACAUCUCGGUCCAACCAAUAAUUAAAAAGUGAUAUUAGGAGGUAGAAGAUAAUAUGAUUCCAUCAUUGCCUCUCAUCUACUAAAUUAUUUAAUUAAUCUAAUACCAGUCCAAACAUGAAAAAAAAUACUAGAAUUUACUGCUUUUCAUCAGGGGAUUAAAUCACAUAUGAAAUCAAAAAUAGUAUAUCAUUCUAUAUAUUUCACUUAAUGUAAGAUCCAAAUUACUCUUUUCAGUUACAAACCCUUUGUCAAACAUAAUCAACAACAAAUAAUAAAAAAAAAUUGUAACCAAAAUAUUUCAAAGAGCGAACUUUAAUACCAUAAAAAUCUUAACAACUAGCCUUCAUAUGUUAACAAGAAUAUUUAUGAUGUUAAAGUUUGUUCUUUAUAAUAUUUUGGUUGCAAUUUUUUUGAUUAUUUGUUAUUGAUCAUGUUUGACAAUGGGUAUGCAACUGAAAAUAAGUAAUUUGGAUCUCGUAUUAAGUGAAAAAAAUGAUAUACUAUUUUUGAUAUUAUAUGUGAUUUGAUCCCUAAUAAUAAACAGCAAAUUUUAAUAUUUUUCUUGAAUAUGAUAUAAAAAAAAAAUGAUAUACUAUUUUUUGAUAUUAUGUGAUUUGAUCCCUAAUAAUAAACAUCAAAUUUUAAUGUUUUUUUUUUAUAUAUGUGUGUUGGUAUUAAAUUAAUUCAAUAAUGAGUUGGCACAAGGGGACUCCGUACGUAAUCGAUAAUCCGUAUAUAUUAGGGGCUGUUGUGGGUGGGGGAAGAGAGAGAGAGUGAGGGGACGAAGGGUUUCUUUUGUUGAAAUCGCAGAGGAUAGCGGUCGCAGAGAAGAGGAAAAUGCCGUGCUUGAACCUGUCCACAAACGUCAAGCUGGAGGGCGUUGACACCUCCGCCAUUCUGUCUGAGGCCACCUCUACUGUUGCCAAACUCGUCGGCAAGCCUGAGGCUUAUGUUAUGAUUGUAUUGAAGGGGUCUGUACCCAUGUCAUUUGGUGGAACUGAGCAGCCAACUGCCUAUGGUGAGUUGGUUUCUAUUGGGGGACUCAACCCUGAUGUGAACAAGAAGCUGAGUGCUGCAAUUUCCAACAUUCUGGAGACAAAGCUUAAUGUGCCAAAGUCGCGUUUCUUCCUGAAAUUCUGUGACACCAAGAGUUCCAACUUUGGAUGGAAUGGGUCUACCUUCUAGGUUCCGUAUUUGCAAAUGUUGAGCUUGUUGACCAC